rnacentral:lncRNA from 1 species
CCUUGGGAGGUUUACCAAUUGGGGUUGGUGGCUUGUGUUCUGGGAGUGGUUUCUCUCCCUUGGGAGGUUUAGUGGGUGACUUGUGUUCUGGAGGUGGCUUCUCCACCGAAGGCUUGUGCUCCGGUGGUGGCUUUUUGGUUGGAGGGGGCUUGGGGUAAUCAGCAAGAGAUGGGGUGGUGAGAACCACCAGUCCAAGGAACAACACUAGCAAGUAUGUGGGAGACAUUUUUGAGUUUGGGCUGAUCAGAUGAUGCAAAACUAAAGCAUUACGUGACCUUUUAUAGCAAGUAGCUCCCAAUACCUACUUGACACGUGUUACUGUGACCCAUAAAUAUUAUGGGGUCUAUUUGUGCCCUACCGGGUUGAAAACUUGGACAAUUGGGCAAGGACCCGCCUGACUAUGGAGGACUACUGAGGUGUGAUCACAGCUUUAGGAUUUUUCUUCCUCUGCAGCCGUCUUGCCGUUGGCAUGAUUUUCUUAAUCUCAAAUAAAGGCAUAGUUAUAGAGUUGUUUAAUCUCUAAAUGGGAUUUUAUAUAUCUUCAGAUAGCCAUUAAUACAUUUGAUGAAGAAAGAAAGACAAGUGCAUACAACAUGUAUACGACUAGCUUUCAUGGAGUUCAUUUAUGAUCAGUUUUCCUGUACAUGUAAACCAAGAUCAUAUAUGUUUUUGUUCCACAACAAUUUUGGAAUCUUGUUUAUCCGUUUUUAUCAUUAUAAUGUCACAUAGGCUGCCAACUUGGGCGCUAAAUUAAAGAUCCAGUUGGGCAAGUUCGUUUCAGAAUUUCAAUGGUGGAUUCAGGAAUUGUUUUAUAAGAUAUGCAAAAUAGUAGAGGGAUGAAUAGUGUUUCAUUAAGAAAAGAGCCCUGUAAAAAUAUUGUUUAAAGGUGCCAUAGAAACUAUAAUCAAUAAAUAACUUUUUUUCCCCAUGGGUGGUGUUUCUUGUGGGGAUCAGUGACUGGUUUGAGUCAACGCCGUGUCUCUUUAGUCCAGAAAUCAACUAUUUUAUGCAUUGAAUACAUCAACAAAGAAAAUAUGAAAGCCAAAUGACACCUCCCCCGCAAAAACUAAACCCUGGUUGCUAACUUUCUAUGUUUCAGUUCCAUUCACACAAGAAUAUUAGUUCAAGUUUGAGAAAAAUGGCGACUUACCUAGUGAUAACUCGGUCUUGGUUUGCGAUUUGACUUUAACGUCAUGGGUUGAAGCCUCCUACAAUCAUCGUGUAUGCUAGUUCAAAGCUCGUGGAAGAAGUUAUACAGGGAGGGAGAAACCUCCACAGCAAGCUCCAAAAGAGAAUUAUCACAUUGAAAGCUCCAGUUGAACACUGGGUGAAAGCCAUAACAAGAUUGGUUUUCUAUCGCUCUUUUAAGUAAUGGAAGAUUAUUAUCUCUGCUUGUCACUACAACCGUGCAUGCUGCUAGAUCUUUCUAGACACUUCAAACAGUGAAACCAAGUAUGAUUCUUUUUCUCUUGAGUGGGUCCACUUGCAUGCCAAUGAACGAGUUGAAAAGUUGGACAAUUGGCCACAGCGCGCACUUACCUUCUGGAACCGAAGGUCAGUGAAGUGGGGUUCCUUUUGGCCCCUUGUGUUUCUGUUCCAACCUACUCCAGGAACCGAAGUUCAGUGAAGUGGGGCUACUUUUGGCCUCUUGUGUUUCUGUUCCAACCAAACAAAAAUGGGAGGGAAAAAUAGCAUUAUGCUUGUGCUAAAGAUCAACGCAUGAUAGCUGAAUAAGGGAGAAAAAGGCAUUGCUAUCUCAAUUUCAUAAACUUGAUAAGUAGUGACAUUAAUAGUCUUCCUCAUAGAUGGAUACAUGGUUUUAUUUUAUUUAUUUAUUUUUAUUUUUUUGUUUUAUGUCAAUGCUAAUGAAUGAAGUGCAUUAGCUUGUUUUGUGACUAGAACUACAAAUGUCCAAAUUGGAGCUUCUCCAAUAUAUUUCUCAGUGAGUUAUUGAUUAGAACUCUUGGAUUGAGUUCCAAGAUUUGAAUCAGACCCCUCUAGCAGCUUCAGGGGUACGUAGCAACCUAUAGCAUAUUAAUGAAGACUUAGGAUUUAGACUUAGGAAUACAAAUUAAUAUGUACCUCAUGCUCUGACUAGCUUCCCUGCGUAUGCACAAAAUGGAGAUGACUCCCAAAAAAAUAGCAGAAUCGCCUUAGUAUGUUUUUGUGGUUAAGAUGAUUCUCCACUUUAUAUAUCCACAUUGGUUCAUUAUGCAAAUUAAUCAACUAAGCUAUUUUUAUUUUUUCUUAAAUGUGAAAUAGGAGCUCCAAAUUAACCUAACCAUUGGCCUGAUUGAAUUGAUUUCACUUGCAUAAUGUUAUAGUAGAAGUCCGUAAUUUGAAUUUUAUUUUUGCAAAAGGUAACGUAAAUGAAGCAUUGUAAUUAAAUUUAUUUGUAAUUACAAACUAAUUUUAUUUUAUUAAGAAUUAAUUUAAUUACUCAUUUAAAAUAAAAAUCAGUUAUACUUUUACCAAGAUGAUAAUAUUCAUAUUUUUCUAGUUAACAUAUAUAAAAUAGUACACUUUUUCAUAUAAAAAAAUAAUUUAUGAUUUAUUAUAAUGUUACUAUUCACAUUUUACUAAAUUGAUGGUACAUGAUAGUGAGAGAAGGGGGUGUCACACUCAGCUAAAGUUCUUUUCAAAAUAUUGCAUGGUGUUUAAUUUUAUGUGUCGGCGCGCGUGUGAAUGGAACCUGCAAAAGUCCAAAUUGGCGUUUCUCCAUUUUCCACAUAGGAUGGUGACGUUAAUAGACAAAGAUACAAUAUCUGUAGACAUUGCUUAAAAAUCGAUGUGAAGUAUUAGAAAUUACAGGGCACUGUACUGGGGGAGCGGCUGCCCCGCCAAAGGAGGAAGAAUGUAGCAAUUUCUUCUGUUAGCCAGGCCUUAGGAUUUAUGCAUGGGAUGCCUAAUAACAAACAGAGAAAAUAUACUUUUGGGGAAGGUAUCCAACAACAGACACCAUCAUUCAGAUGGUGGGAAGGUAUCCAACAGAUGCCAUCAUUCAGAUGGUAACAUAUAUAUACAUUUAUUAGUGAGUUUUUUUAAUACCUAUAAAAAAAAAUAUACACUUUGAUAUUGUGGCUGAAUCCAUUACAUACUCAACUAACCUUGCUCAUUAGGGAUUUGACUUAACAAGGGCAACGUUGCAGUACAAGCUCAAAACUUUAUGCAGGUGACAUUACAUUUGGUAAAGAAGAGGAAAAUAACGAAAGCCAUCCAUAAAAGCAAAAUUCCACAUGGGAUGAAAUUCACAAGCUUCAUUUACGAUAGAGUCGCAUCCAGGCAAUUAAUUCCACAUUAGACCGCCUGUUGACAUGUGUACCAAUCUUUUUUCAAAAAAUAUUUAUAAAUAAUUGAUACUCACAAAAAUAAUUUAAUAUUUAUAAAGGAUAAAAAAAUAUUUUCAAAUCUAUAACAAUUUAUAAAAUAUUAAUAAAAAAUUAUCUCUUAAACUUAGUAUAGUUUUAUCAGAUUAAACUUUUAUUUUGAACAAAUAAUUUUAAUCUAAGUUUUAAAUUCUAAAAUUAUUUCCUUAAAAUAAAAUUUUAAAAUUCAACACUUCAAUUGAAAUUGUCUUUUUAAAAAAUAUCUUCUUAUUUUAAUCCUUAUAAACUAUAGUUGAUUGAAAAUACUAUUGAAGUUCUCUCUUAAAAAAAAGUCUUAUUUUAAUCUUCAUAAAUUGCCCUUGAUUUGAAAAUAAAUUUUCAGUUAUCAUAUUUUAAAUAAUAUCUAUAUUUAAAAUACUCUAUUUAAAAAAAAAUGAACUAAUUUUAAUUAUAUUAUAUUUUAUUUUUUUAUAUAUUUUUAAUGAUAAACCAAACAUAGAAAAUCAUUUUUCUAAAUAUUUUAAAAUUUCUAAGCAACCAAACAUAAUCUUCAAAAUAAAAGGAAAAUAAGGAGGGACAUUUGAGAAAUGGCGAUUAAAAAAAAGUGUACAAAAGCUCAAUUAAUUUUCUUCUAGUCUUUUAUAUAAAAAAGUAAAGGAAUUGAAAAGUAUUGAUAUGUAAAUUAAUAUUUGGAUUUUAAUAGUAUUUUAUUUGUCUUUCUCUAUCUCAUGUAAAAGAGAAUUUAAGAUAUUUCCUAAAGCAAAGCAUUAGUUAUCUGCAAUCAGUGGUGAUCAUGCCCCAUGUCAAUUUCGGACCCAUAUCUUAAAACUGUAUAAUUUGCAUUCAAACAUUACUGAUUUCUCAGAUGUUUCAUACUCCACAGAAGAGCAUUGUUUGUGAAAGCAUGCAUUUAUGUUGGAUUUUGGAUGAUGUGGGAACUGGGGCAAGGAUCAUAUGGAAGAGUGGUCGAUUUUGUUCUGUACUUUAACAUUUGAAAUAGGAGAAGCUCGGGCAUUUGUGGGGCUUAAUUGAUUUUGAAGCCUGAAAUUGCGUUUCUGUCAUUUUGUAAAAAAUAUGGCAGAUUCCAUGCUCUCAUAUGUUUGGUCUGUGGCCAUGUAUAGAUGCCCCUUAGUGACCAGUUUGUAACUGUCAAUCAUAGUGUUUUGACUCUGGCUCAACAACAUCAGCCAUUGACGGAUUUUCAUACUUGCAAAUCAAAUAGUCUUCUUCCUCCCUUAGGAAUUUCGGUUUAAAUGUUAUUAAGCAUACAUUUGGCUGACAAUUAUUAACCACUUCAUGAUAUGGUUUCUUACCCUUAAUCAAUGGUUUCUAAGUGAAUAUAUGCAGAAGGAAAUCUGAACUGUAGACAGCAGUAUUGAUAACUCUCAAUAUUCUUUAUAUAAGAGAAUAAACAACGUCAUAGUGAUCGUCGCCUACAAGAAAGGUACAUUUCCCAACAAGAUGUAGUUGUGACUGGUACAUGGACGCAAUUAACUCGUACAAAAGAAUAAGACCAGUGCACGGCAGCUCUUAUUUUACAUGCUAAUUAUGCUAACCAAAGUCACUCAGUUGGGAUGGGAGGGAGAUGGAGGUUUGUGCGGUGGCUUGUGGGGCGGAGUUGGUGGCUUCUUUUCAGGAGCUUGUGGCUUUUUCGGAGCUGAAGGAGGCUCAAUCUUAUGAGGCGGCUUGUACGAGUCUUCUUUACUCUCGACAGGAGGGUGGCCAGGGUUGUGACCAUAAUGUGGUGGCUUCUCUCCCUUAGGUGGCUUGCCAACUGGGGUUGGUGGCUUGUGUUCAGGAAGUGGUUUCUCUCCCUUGGGAGGUUUACCAAUUGGGGUUGGUGGCUUGUGUUCUGGGAGUGGUUUCUCUCCCUUGGGAGGUUUAGUGGGUGACUUGUGUUCUGGAGGUGGCUUCUCCACCGGAGGCUUGUGCUCCGGUGGUGGCUUCUCCACCGGAGGCUUGUGCUCCGGUGGUGGCUUCUUGAUUGGAGGGGGCUUGGGGUAAUCAGCAAGAGAUGGGAUGGUGAGAACCACCACUCCAAGGAACAACACUAGCAAGUAUGUGGGAGACAUUUCUGAGUUUGAGCUGAUCAGAUGAUGCAAAACUAGAAGAAUUACGGGACCUUUUAUAGCAAGUAUCUCCCAAUACCCACAUGACACGUGUUACUAUGACCAUAAAUAUUAUAGGGUCCAUUUGUGCCCUACCGGGUUGAAAACUUGGACGCUUGGCCGAGGACACACCUGACUAUGGAGGACUAUUGACGUGUGAUCACAGCUUUUGGAUUUUUCUUCCUGUGCAGCUGUCUAGCGGUUGGCAUUAUUUUCUUAAUCUUAAAUAAAGGCAUAGUUAUAGAGUUGUUUAAUCUCUAAAUGGGAUUUUAUAUAUCUUCAGAUAGCCAUUAAUAUAUUUGAUGAAGAAAGACAAGUGCAUACAACAUGUAUACGGCUUGCUUCAAUCGAGUACAUUUAUGAUCAGUUUUCCUGUGCAAGUAAACCAGUUUUUUGUUCCACAACUAUUUUGGAAUCUUGUUUAUCAGUUUCUAUCAUUAUAAUGUCACAUAGGCUGCAAACUUGGGCACCCAAAGAUCUAGGUGGGCAAAUUUGUUUCAGACUUUCAAUGGUGGAUUCAGUAAUUGUUAAAAGGUGUUUCUUCAUUAAGGAAAGAGUCCGGUAAAAAUAUUGUUAAAAGGUGUCAUAGAAACUAUAAUAAAUAAAUAACUUCUUUUCCCCAUGGGUGGUGUUUCUUCUGGGGAUCAGUGACUGGUUAGGGUCACCCAAAAUGAGUCCAGAUUAAAAUUGGUUCGAGUCAAAGCAGUCUCUUUUGUCCAGAAAUCAACUAUUUUGCGCAUUGAAUGAAUCGAUAAAGAAAAAAUGAAAGCCAAAUCACACCUCCCCUGCAAAACCUAAACCCCGGUUGCUAACUUUCUAUGUUUCAGUCCUAUUCAUAUAGGAAUAUUGGUUCAAGUUUGAGAAAAAUGGCAACUUACCUAGGGUUUACUUGGUUUUGGUUUGCGACUAUUUACGCAACCAACCAUGAGUUUGACUUUAACGUCAUGGGUUGAAGCCUCCUACAAUCAUGUAUGAUAGUUCAAAGCUCGUGGAAGAAAUUAUACAGGAAGGAAGAAACCUCCAAAGCUAGCUCCAAAAGAGAAUUAUCACAUCGAUAGCUCCAGAGAUUCCCAAGGGAACUGAAUCAAAGACAAGUUCCUCACUUUUUCUUCUUUUGAGGCCAAAUAUGAACCAAGGAUCACACGACCUCAUUCAACUUCAUAAGUUUGAUUUCAUGCAGUUGAACACUGGGUGAAGGCCAUGACAAGAAUUGAUUAAAAAAUUCUACCACUCUUUUAAGUAAUGGAAGAUUAUUAUCUCUGAUUGGCACCACAACAGCACAUGCUGCUAGAUCUUUCUAGACACUCCAUGCAAUGAAAGCACAAUGGAUCUUGUAAUGAUAGAAACUAAGCCAUGCUACAGUACUAGAUGAGGGGGUAAAACUAGUAGACAUCUUUCUAGACACUCCAUGCAAUGAAAGCACAAUGGAUCUUGUAAUGAUAGAAACUAAGCCAUGCUACAGUACUAGAUGAGGUGGUAAAACUAGUAGACAUGGCUGGCAGUUGAUUACUACUCAAAAAGUACUCUUUUAUAGCUUGAAACUAACUGUUUUAAACACUUUUGAGUAGUAGUUAAUACCUUUUAACUUAAUUGGCACAUUAAGGAACCUAGCAAGGGUUACUAAUCAACAUUUGGCAAGUUUUGAUGUUUUUGGUAGCUAUUUGAUCAUUGAAACAAGCCAAGAAUGAGGGGGAAUUUUGUGAAGUCCAUGGCAAUGCAAGUUAAAGCUCAAAUACAUGAAGAAUCCAAGCUUUGGAGCACUUCAUAGCCCUUUGCCAAGCCAAUCAAAGAUGCAAGGAAGAAAACCAAAGGAAGAAAUCCAACAAUCAGCAUUUUGGCAUGGCUAUGUGAAAUUUCGCACACCAUGCGAAACCACAAGAGGCAGCCAAAGAAUUUCGCAUGGUAUGCGAAAUCUUCUUGUGCACUGACUCUGUUAGAUUUUUAUCUUCAGAUAUUUUGUGUAAUUUCCUAGUUUCUCCUUGUAACCAACUUAGAUAUUUUCUUUUAUAUCUUUUUUUAUAUUUUUUAGGUAACAUCAUAUAUAAGAGGAGAGACAUAAGGAGGAUAUGGAUGUUUUUCAUAGAACACUUGUAAAUUUUUGGUAGUAAGAAAUAUACAAAGCUUUUUGCUCUGCCUUACCUUCUCAAGGGAUGAGUGGCUAGGUUUUCUUGGAGUGAGGGAAGCUAGGUGAAGGACCUGAAUGCAAAGGUGGGAGUUUUCCUUACUUUAAAUGAAAGUAGUUGUUAAACAUUAAUGGUUUUUAUUUUAAGGUUUAGCUUUAAAUCCCUGAAAAACACCUUGAAUGGCCAAUACUUGGUAAGCUUUUUAGAUUCUAUGGAUGCUUAUUGCUAGAUCCAUGGAUGUCUAUUAGUUAUCAUUUACGAGCCAUUGGAAGGUGAUUCAAGGUGAGGGUCUUUAGUGUUUGAAGCCAUUAAUGGGAAGCAAUUACCAUUUUUUCAUGAAUCCUUUGGAUCAAAUCUUAAUUGCUAAAUAUAAAACCGGUUUCGAGAGAUAACCACCAUCCUUUAUGUUAUUAUCCCCAACGCGAGGAGAAGAUCCGAAAUCUUCCUUUUUAUCUAAGGAACCCGAUCCUAGUGACCUAAAGCUCCAAGAUACCUUUUCUUUGUAGUUAACUUCAUUUAUUGUUUUUGCUUAACUUAAAAUCAAUCUUUGCAACCACAAUUCCAUUUUCUUUAAAAGCUAAUUUUUAUAAGGAAAAACACCAUUUUAUUUCCUUCACUAAGUCAACUGUACGAUGAAAACCCAUCCCUGUGGACGAUCCUAGAGCCACUAUACUAUGUUAGCUAUGCUACCCUAGUGUGAGGUGAUUUAGGUUUUAUAAAUUUUUUUGAUAACACCCAUCUGAGCCAGAAUCAAAUGGCACGACUGAACCAGGGACGAAUCAAAUGACGCCGCUACCAAGGAUGGUGCCAAAGUACAUUGACAUGACUUUUGGUGAACACUUGUGAUCUUCACCACAAGUUUGGUGAUUUUUCUUUUACUAAUUUUUUUUAUUUUAGCUUAUCUUUUAUUUAGUUUUUAGUUAACCUUAAAUUUUUCCUAGAAUUGUAUUUCUUUUGUUUUCUUUGUUUUUGUUUCAGUGAUCUUUAGUUGUGCAUGCCCUAUUGGAUAAGAGAUAUUGAGGGAAUACUUGUGAAGAUUGAAACUCCUCGAGAAACUGAGUUAGAAGUGUGCUUGAACAUCAUGGAUGUUCCACCUGAAGACCAGAAUAGCCAACAUGGUUAAGAGGAUAAUUUCAACACAUACCGAUCCAUGAGGAACCGCAUACAUCCACCUUGUAUGAGUGCACCGUCAGGCAUAAUGCCUCCCACUGAGCAGCUAGUAAUCUGACCUCACAUUGUGCCACUCCUACCUACUUUCCAUGGGAUGGAGAGUGAGAAUCCCUACUCGCAUAUUAAGGAAUUCGAGGAGGUUUGUAAUACAUUCCAAGAAGGAGGAGCUUCAAUUGACUUGAUGAGGCUCAAGCUAUUUCCUUUCACUUUGAAGGAUAAGGCCAAGAUUUGGCUUAAUUCUUUAAGGCCAAGAAGUAUCCAAACUUGGAUUGAUUUGUAAGCCGAGUUUCUUAAGAAGUUCUUCCCUACCCAUAGGACCAAUGGUUUGAAAAGGCAAAAUUUGAACUUCUCAGUUAAAGAGAAUGAGAAAUUCUAUGAGUGUUGGGAGAGCUACAUGGAAGCUAUUAACGUUUGUCCUCACCAUGGCUUUGACACAUGGCUCUUAGUGAGCUAUUUUUACAAUGGUAUGUCUUCUUCAAUGAAGCAACUCCUAGAAACUAUGUGUGGAGGAGACUUCAUGAGUAAGAAUCCGGAGGAAGCCAUGGACUUUUUGAGUUAUGUGGCUGAAGUUUCAAGAGGAUGGGAUGAACCAAAUGCUAGAGAGGUGGGAAGAAUGAAGUCUCAACCUAAUGCUAAGGGUGAGAUGUAUGUUUUGAAUGAAGACAUUGACAUGAAAGCAAAGGUUGCAGCUAUGGCAAGGAGAUUGGAAGAGCUAGAAAUGAAGAACAUACAAAAAGUGCAAGCCAUUUCUGAGACAUCAAUGAAAGCUAUGCCUUGUUCCAUUUGUCAAUCUUAUAAGCACCUAGUGGAGGAGUGUCCUACAAUUCCAGCAGUGAGAGAGAUGUUUGGUGAUCAAGCAAAUGUUAUUGAUCAAUUCAAGCCUAAUAACAAUGCUUCAUAUGGCAACACCUACAAUUCAAAUUGGAGGAACCAUUCAAAUUUCUCUUGGAAACGAAAGCCACCUCAAUACACACAACCUACUCAAGCACCUUAGCAAUCCUCGAAUCUUGAACAAGCUAUUGUGAACCUUAGCAAGGUUGUGGGAGACUUUGUGGGAGAUCAGAAGUCCAUCAAUGCUCAACUGAAUCGGAGAAUUGACAGUGUGGAGAGUACAUUGAACAAAAGGAUGGAUGAGAUGUAAAAUGAUCUGUCUCAAAAGAUAGACAAUGUCCAAUACGUAAUCUCAAGGCUUACCAACCUCAACACAGUGUAAGAGAAAGGAAAGUUUCCUUCUCAACCUCAUCAAAAUCCUAAGGGUAUCCAUGAAGUAGAGGCUCAAGAGGGAGAAUCUUCAAAGGUGAGGGAAGUCAAAGUAGUUAUCACCUUGAAGAGUGGUAAAGAGGUUGAUCAACCCACAUCCAAGCCAAAGCAUAAUGAAGAGAGUGUAGCAGAAAAAGAAAAGAGAGGAAAAUAAAGGAAUUAGAAUAGAGAAAAAUACAAAGAAAGAUGACCAUGAGUCUAGUGUGGAUGAAGAGCCCGAGAGGAUGGUGAUCAAGGAAGAUAUGAUGAAGAAACACAUGCCUCCACCUUUCCCCUAAGCUUUGCAUGACAAAAAAAGAACCAAUAAUACAUCAGAAAAUUUUGAAGUAUUGAGGCAAGUGAAGGUCAAUAUCCCUUUGCUAGACAUGAUCAAACAAGUGUCGACAUAUGAAAAAUUCUUGAAGGACUUGUGCACUGUAAAGAGAGGGUUGAAUGUGAACAAGAAAGCUUUAUUGACCGAGCAAGUGAGUUCCAUCAUACAGUGCAAGUCCUAGUGAAGUACAAAGAUCCGGGUUGCCGUACCAUCUCAGUGAGUAUUGGAAGGACUUGUGUGGAGAAAGCUUUGUUGGACUUGGGAGCAAGUGUGAAUUUGCUAUCCUACUCUGUCUAUAAGCAGUUGGGAUUUGGAGAGUUGAAGCCAAUAUCCAUCACUCUAUCUCUAGCGGAUAGAUCAAUGAAGAUUCCAAGAGGGAUGAUCGAAGAUGUCCUGGUUCAAGUUAACAAAUUCUACUAUCCAGUAGAUUUUGUUGUUCUUGAUAUGGAUCCGGUUGUCAAAUGAACUAAUUAUGUUCCUAUCAUACUUGGAAGACCCUUCCUAGCUACAUCAAAUGCAAUCAUCAAUUGUAGGAAUGGAGUCAUGCAACUCACAUUUGUCAACAUGACAUUAGAGCUCAACAUCUUCCAUUUGUACAAGAAGCAUAUCCAUCAGGAGGAAAAAGAAGGUCUAGAGGAAGUGUGAAUGAUUGACACUUUAGUGGAAGAGCAUUGUGAUCGAGAAUGCAAAAAGAUUUAGUUGAGAAUUUUGGGGAUCUUGAUGAAAGGUUACUUGAACCCUCAGAUUUGCUUGCUACCCUACUCCAUUGGAAGAGAAGAGAAGAAAUUCUACCCUUAUUCAAUGAGGAGGAGACGCAAAGAGCUGCAAAGGAGAAACCCCCAAAACUUAUUCUUAAGCCACUACCCACAGAGUUGAAGUAUGUAUACUUGGAAGAAGACAAGAAGUGCCCUAUUGUUAUAUCUUCAACUCUUACCAUUCAUCAGGAGGAUUGUCUACUUGAAGUCCUUAGAAGAUGUAAGAAGACAAUAAGGUGGCUAAUUUCUUAUUUGAAAGGGAUCAGCCCUUUAGUCUGCACCCAUCAUAUUUACAUGGAGGAUGAAGCUAAGCUAAUUCAUCAACCUCAGAGAAGGUUGAACCCUCACAUGCAAGAGGUGGUUCGAGCUGAAGUUCUGAAGCUACUUCAGACCAGUAUUAUUUACCCCAUAUCAAAUAGCCCAUGGGUGAGUCCUACUCAAGUUGCGCCAAAGAAGUCUGGGAUCAUGGUGGUGCAAAAUGAUAAGGGAGAAGAUGUCUCUACACGCCUCACUACAGGUUGGAGGGUGUGUAUCAAUUACAGGAGGUUGAAUGCAGUGAUAAGAAAGGACCAUUUCUCAUUGCCCUUUAUUGAUCAGGUGCUUGAGAGGGUCUCUGGGCUUUUUUUUUUAUUGUUUCUUGGAUGGCUACUCCGGGUACUUUCAGAUAGAAAUUGAUGUUGAAAACCAAGAUAAGACCAUUUUCACAUGCCCAUUUGGAACCUAUGCAUAAAGGAGAAUGCCUUUCGGCUUAUGCAAUGCACCCGCAACUUUCCAAAGAUGCAUGUUAAGCAUUUUCAGUGAUAUGGUGGAGCGUAUUAUGGAAGUCUUUAUGGAUGAUAUCACCAUUUAUGGAAGUGCAUUUGAUGAAUGCUUGGUCAACUUAGAAGCUGUUCUGAACCGAUACAUUGAGAAAGACUUAGUGCUUAACUGGGAGAAGUGCCAUUUCAUGGUACACCAAGGGAUUGUCCUUGGGCACAUUAUCUCCAAGCAAGGCAUUGAAGUUGACAAAGCAAAGGUUGAACUCAUUGUUAAGUUGCCAUCCUCAACAAAUGUCAAAGGAGUAAGGCAAUUCUUUGGCCAUGUCGGGUUCUAUAGGAGGUUUAUCAAGGAUUUCUCUAAGCUUGCAAGGCCUCUUUGUGAAAUAUUGGUGAAUGAUGUUAAAUUCAUAUGGGAUGAUGGAUUUGAAAGGAGUUUUGAAGAAUUGAAGCUAUUUUUGACAACCGUACCAAUAGUGAGGGCUCCCAACUGGCAACUGCCCUUUGAAGUAAUGUGUGAUGUCAAUGAUUUUGCUAUAGGAUUUUUUCUUGGGCAAAGAGAAAAUGGAAAACCUUAUGUGAUCUACUAUGCGAGGAAGGCAUUGAAUGAGGCACAAAGAAACUACACAACCACCGAGAAAGAAUUGUUAGCUGUAGUUUUUGCCUUGGAUAAGUUUCGCGCUUACUUGGUGGGGUCCUUCAUCAUGGUUUUUACUGAUCACUUUGCUUUGAAGUAUCUGUUGACUAAGCAAGAUGCUAAAGCAAGGCUGAUUAGAUGGAUUCUCUUACUUCAAGAGUUCAAUCUCCAUAUCAAAGAUAAGAAAGGAGUGGAGAAUGUGGUAGCAGACCACAUUUCAAGGCUAGCUAUCGCACAUAAUUCCCAUGCUUUGCCCAUUAAUGACGAUUUUCUAGAGGGGUCUCUCAUGUUGGUGGAAGUUGUCCCUUGGUACGCUCACAUUGCUAACUACCUGGUCACGGGAAAAGUUCCAAGUGAGUGGAAAGCACAAGAUAAGAAGCACUUCUUUGCAAAAAUUCAUGCCUACUAUUGGGAAGAGCCAUUUCUAUUCAAGUAUUGUAUGGAUCAGAUAAUAAGGAAGUGCGUUCCUGAAGAAGAGCAACAGGGGAUCCUUAGUCAUUACCAUGAAAAUGCAUGUGGAGGCCACUUUGCUUAUCAAAAGACAGCCAUGAGGGUGUUGCAAUCGGGUUUCUGUUGGCCAUCACUUUUCAAAGAUGCCCACACCAUGUGCAAGAGUUGUGAUCGAUGCCAGAGGCUUGGGAAGUUGACACGCAGGAACAUGAUGCCUUUGAACCCCACUUUAAUAGUUGAUAUUUUUUAUGUUUGGGGCACUAACUUCAUGGGACCUUUCCCUAUGUCUUUUGGCUACUCUUACAUCUUGGUAGGAGUAGAUUAUGUUUCUAAGUGGGUUGAGGCAGUCCCAUGCAAACACAAUGACCAUAGAGUGGUUCUCAAGUUUCUUAAAGAGAAUAUCUUCUCAAGAUUUGGGGUGCCCAAAGCCAUAAUUAGUGAUGGGGGUACUCAUUUUUGCAACAAGCCUUUUGAAACUCUCCUAGCCAAGUAUGGGGUGAAGCAUAAGGUAGCUACACCUUACCACCCUCAAACUCAUGGACAAGUUGAGUUAGCAAACAGGGAGAUUAAAAACAUAUUGAUGAAGGUGGUGAACACAAACAGAAAAGAUUGGUCAGUCAAGCUUCUUAAUUCACUAUGGGCAUAUAGAACAACUUACAAGACCAUUCUCGGGAUGUCUCCUUAUCGCCUAGUUUAUGGCAAAGCAUGCCAUCUCCCUGUGGAAUUGGAAUACAAAGCUUGGUGGGCAAUCAAGAAGCUCAACAUGGAUUUGAGCAGAGCUGGGUUGAAGAGGUUCUUAGACCUUAAUGAGAUGGAGAAAUUGAGAAAUGAUGCCUACAUCAAUUCAAAAAUUGCAAAAGAAAAAUUGAAGAGGUGGCAUGAUCAGUUGAUUUCCCGCAAGGAUUUUCAAAAUGGACAAAGAGUCUUACUUUAUGACUCUAAACUCCACAUCUUUCCGGGCAAGCUGAAAUCAAGGUGGAUAGGUCAUUUUACCAUUCACCAAGUGCAUUCAAAUGGAGUAGUGGAACUACUCAACUCCAACAAUAUCGAGAACUUCAAAGUGAAUGGCCACCGUCUCAAGCCCUUUGUGGAGUCUUUUUCUCACAACAAGGAGAAAUUCAUCCUCCUUGAUCCACAUCAAGCUUAACAAGACCAAUUUUCUUGAUGGACUUAGUCUUUCUAAAGACUAUCGAGUCCAUAACUUUUUGUUUUAUUUUUUAUUUGAGAUUUUUUCGGUAUUGUUACUUGUUUUGUUUUUUAUUUUUCGUUUUAAUUUUAUUUGGUUUGAUUUAACUUAGGUUUUUGAUGAUCAAUUACAGGGGGGAUUUCAAAUAGAGGAAAAACCAAGAUAAUUCGCACACCCUACGAAAAUUUCGCAAGGCAUGCGAAAUUUAUGGCUUAUUUUGCAUGGGGUGAAAAUUUUCGUACAUCUUACGAACCAAUUUCGAACACUUUGCGAAAAUAAACCAACCCUGCGAAAUCAUUUCGAUUACUCUACGAAAUUUUCGUAGAGCAUGCGAAAAAUUUAGCACACCAAACACCAUUUCGCAUACUAUGCAAAAACCUAAGGGGUCUGCGAAACCAUUUCGCACCUCCAAAUCCAUUUCGCACAUUGUGCGAAAACCAAGAGGCGCUGUGCGAAAAUGAAAAGUCGCCCUGUCAUCCCUUUUUAAACCCCUCGAGCCCUAAAAUCUCCAUUUCGCAAGCACCCCUGUCCUUGCGAAUCCCUCAUUUUCCUCUACUACCUUGCAACCUCGUCCCUUUCCAUUUGAUAUUGUGCCCCGCGCACAUCUCAUUUCAGAGACUCGCACUCCGCGCCCCCUCAAAGCAUGGACUCGAGACCCACCUUCCAUUUCCGACGUGGCACGGACCCAAGGAGCCCUUUCUGCCCCUUCACUAAGACACACACCAAGGCAGAAAGCCUCCUUUGCUCAAGUGCCUAGUGAUUCUCCAUCUUAGGCCUCAGAGGCCUCGGAGGCCCCGUGGAUUCCACCUUCCGAGGGUAGAGCAGCCAUUGGUCCUUCCUCUUCUACUCCUUAGCGUAGAUACGAGACGAGGAGACCACCUACUACACAAGGGGCGACUACUUCGAGCCUUGAGAAUUCAGUACGAUGCCUUCCUGCCAAGAGGGUCAAGACUUCAGGUCCAAGUGAGUCAUCCAGAGCUUCAUAGCCUAAGCCUCCUGUAGAUUCCAAGGUUCCUACUGACAUAUCACCGGAGUCUAUUAUCAGAAGCCCGAUGCUCAUAGCACCGCCCAUUGAGGGCAACUCAGAUUAUAGAGCGAGAUCUUUCCACUUGGAGCUAUAUUUUGAUCAGGAGGCCAUACGACAGCAGCCUGAGCUCCGAGACUCUUAUGGCUUACUGCAGAGGUACCAUCUUGAGGAACUUAUGACUCCUCGUGAGUUUUUUUAUCCCAGAGUAGCACUAAACUUUUACCAGUCCAUGACUACUCGUGGCGUCCCGAGUCCUACCACGAUUCACUUCACCAUUGAUAGACGUCAUGGUAUCCUCAAGGCCAGACAUAUUACAGAGGCUCUACAAAUUCCUUUCGAGCUAGAGGAUCCAUCUGUUUUUCGCUAAUGGUCCCCAGUAUCUCAGAGGGACAUGGUCCGUAUUUUAUCUAGGGGAACAUCUACAGAUUCGAUCUUUCUACGGAAGGAGCUUCGACCUGGGAUGCUCCUCUUAGAUGUGGUGCUAUGCUCCAACCUCUUUCCCUUACAACAUUCGGUACAUAGGUGAUGAGCUAUUUUGGACGCUUUAUUCCGUAUAUCAGAGGGCUUCUACUUUGGCCCGCACCACUUGAUCAUGGUCUCCCUCAUCCACUUUGAGGAGAAGGUUCAUAGGAAGAAGCUUCAGAGGGUGGACACCAUUCCAUUACUAUUCCUGAGGUUACUUUGCCAGGUCUUGGAGUACAUGGGCUUUCCUACUGAGCCUCGGCUCGAGCUUUGCCGCCUUUGUCGAGAGUGAUCCACUCUCGACAAAUGGAAUUAGUUGGCGGGCUAUUCUGCACCUCCAGGAGCCCCUCCCAUGGUAGCACCUCCAAUGUCCCCACAGGCAAAGUAGGGCGAGCUCCCGGCAAAGACUGUACCACCAAUGCCCACACUUGAGGCUAUUUCUGCUGCUCUGCCUAUGACUCCUACUGUUCCACCAGUUGGUCCUUUUACAUCCGAGCCUUCCAUCACCAUCUCGGCUUCGGAGUUUCGCGCCCUUGUGCAUACCUUUCAGACACUCACCACCACACAUACUCCUCUCUUCUAGCAAAUGGUUGAGAUGUGUGCCCAUCAGGACCGGAAGACUACUAUACUCUGCCAAAUUCAGCAGCACCUAAGACUUUUGCCUCAACCUCAACCUAACCAUCCCAUAUCAUCAGAGCCUCUAGCUCCAACUGAGGAUACUAUUCCACCUGAGAACACUACCACAGUAGAGGUCCGGUUUCCACCACCUUAAGAGGCCACCACAGCUACAUCAGAGGAUGUGUCAUCUCCACUUGAGGCUCCCACUACUUGAUCAUAGGACAUAUCUUUAUCUUAUUGUAUUUACAUAUUAUAUUACUAGAGAUUUGUCCUUGUUUUGAUACUUUAUAUUCUGGGAUUGGAUGUAUUGCCUGAUGAUAUCUCAAUUGUACUUUCUCAUAUUAAUAUAUAGACAUCAAUUUUUUUUAGUAUACUUAGCAUUUUUCUAUUUCCUCUACUCAUUACUCUUUUGUUUUUUUUUACUCAUGUGGUUUCUCUUAUACAACUCAGACUCCAUUUCACUCAGGAGGUACCACUUCCUCCCUUUAUUUUCAAUUGCUCUUGAAAUAUUGAGUGCAAUGUUGAUCUUGGUUGGGGGGAGAGUUGAGGAAGGAAGUUUUGUUAAUAAUGCUAGGUUAAUUUGUUAAUUUAGUUACUUUCUGCUUAAUUUUAAAAGUUUUCACUCUACUUUCCAUGGUUAUUAAGGAAAAAUUCUCAAAAUGAAAUGGGAGAAAUCGAAUUCUUGCAUUUUUACUUGAAUCUUAGAAUUUGUAUCAUGCUUAUUAAAGUUGAUGAAUUAUUGAAACUCCUAUUGAAUUCAACCUUAUUUUUUCCACUUUAAUCUUACCACACACGGUGCACAUUAGGUUCCAGUUAUAAGAUAAAAAACUAUCUCACCCCCUAAACUUAGAAAAAUUUACACUUGGUACCUUUGACAUCGUUUUAAUAGUGUUGGGACACCUUAUAAAAGGCCAAUGAGCCUUUAAAAAAAAAAAAAAAAAAAAAAAGAGAAAGAACAAAGUAUUGCACUUGCCUUGAAACCUGAGCAAGAUCCGAGGGGUAUACAGUGAAAGUCUUUAAAACCUGGUGCCCUAAGCCUUGAUUGGUUGGGAGUCACCGACCUCAAUGCUCGUUAUAAGGGUGAAUAGGUGGAGUUUAACAUAUUGUAGGUGCUUGGGUAUUGAAUUUCAAUCUCAAAAGUCCGGGAAAAAAUCUAAGGAGUUAGUGGUCAAAAGAUCCUUAAAGCUUGAUGCCCUAAACCUUGAUUGGUUGAGAGUCAUUGAUGGAUCCCCGCUACAUGGACAUUUUAGAAAACAAUACCUUUAGCAUUGCACGCCUACAAUGAAAAAAAAAUGUGAAAUAAAAGAGGUGCGUUCUUAGCCUAUUGGAGGUUGGUCAGUUUGCUAAAGUUUGAGAAAUCUAGGUUGGGGGGAGAGAAUAGUCCGACAUACUAUAAUAAAAAACUAAUAACCUUAACACUUAGAUUUUUGUGGAAGAGUAAGGAUUGGACCUUUAGGGGUGGAAAUUCUUUUGAUGCUUAAAUUUGCAUAAUGCCUACUCUUUAUAAAUUAUGAUUAGGCAAGAGAUUUGAUGACUCUUGUUCAAAGUUGGGUUUUUCCUCUUUGAUGUUCCAUGAGAGAGUAUAAUCCUCAUCAUGCCACUUGAAAUCUUUUUGGAGUGAUUAACAUGAUUUUGUAAAUUAUUUUACUGUCUAUUUUUCUUUAUCUCUCUUUUAUUGCUAAUGGACUAGCAAUAUGUCAGUUGGGGGGAGUGAUUACUACUCAAAAAGUACUCUUUUAUAGCUUGAAACUAACUGUUUUAAACACUUUUGAGUAGGUGUUAAUACAUUUUAACUCAAUUGGCACAUUAAGGAACCUAACAAGGGUUACUAAUAAGUUUUUGGCAAGUUUUGGUGUUUUUGGUAGCUAUUUGAUCAUUGAAACAAGCCAAGAAUGAGGGAGAAUUUUGUGAAGUCCAUAGCAAUGCAAGUUAAAGCUCAAAUACAUGAAGAAUCCAAGCUUUGAAGCACUUCAUAGCCCUUUGCGAAGCCAAUCAGAGAUGCAAGGAAGAAAACCAGAGGAAAAAAUCCAACAACCAGCAUUUUCGCAUGGCUGUGCGAAAUUUUGCACACCAUGCGAAACCACAAGAAGUAGCCAAAGAAUUUUGCACACCAUGCGAAAUUUCGCAUGGUAUACGAAAUCUUCCUAUGCACCAACUCCGUUAUAUUUUUAUCUUCAGAUAUUUUGUGUAAUUUCCUAGUUUCUCCUUGUAACCAACCUAGAUAUUUUCUUUUAUAUCUUUUUUUUAUAUUUUUUAGGUAACAUCAUAUAUAGGGGGAGAGACAUAAGGAGGAUAUGGAUGUUUUUCAUAAAACACUUUUAAUUUUCUGGUAGUAAGAAAUAUACAAAGUUUUUUGCUCUGCCUUACCUUCUCAUUUUGUUUUCACCUAUCUUUCUAGCCAAACAACCUCUGAGAAUGAUUUCUCAGGGGAUGAGUAGUUAGGUUUUACGUUUCUUGGAGUGAGAGAAGCUAGGUGAAAGACCCAAAUGCUAAGGUGGGAGUUGUCCUUGCUUUAAAUGAAAGUAGUUGUUAAAUAUUAAUGGUUUUUAUUUUAAGGUUUAGCUUUAAAUCCCUUAAAAACACCUUGAAUGGCCAAUACUUGGUAAGCUUUUCGGAUUCUAUGGAUGCUUAUUGCUAGAUCCAUGGAUGUCAUUAGUUAUCAUUUAUGAGCCAUUGGAAGGUGGUUCAAGAUGAGAGUCUUUAGUGUUUGAAGCCAUUAAUGGGAAACAAUUACCAUUUUUUCAUGAAUCCUUUGGAUAAAAUCUUAAUUGCUAAAUAUAAAACUGGUUCGGGAGAUAACCAUCCUUUAUGUUAUUAUGCCCAAUGCAAGGAGAAGAUUUCGAAUCUUCUCAUUUGUCUAAGGAACCCGAUCCUAGUGACCUAAAGCUCCUAGAGACCUUUUCUUUGUAGUUAACUUCAUUUAUUGUUUUUGCUUAACUUAAAAUCAAUCUUUGCAACCACAAUUCCAUUUUCUUUAAAAGCUAAUUUUUAUAAGGAAAAGCACCAUUUUAUUUCCUUCACUAAGUCAACUGUAUGAUGAAAACCCAUCCCUGUGGACGAUCUUAGAGCCACUAUACUAUGUUAUCUAUGCUAUCCUAGUGUGAGGUGAUUUAGGUUUUAUAAAUUUUGUUGAUAACACCCGUCUGAGCCAGAAUCAAAUGGAACCACUGAACCAGGGACAAAUCAACAGCCUAUAUGGGAGGGACACAAGUUUAAUUGAUUUGCAUUUCAGCGUUAUAGAUAAGUAUGUUUUGGAAGAUUUGUUCUGGAAAUACUGCACCAAGUACGAUUCUUUUUCUCUUGAGUGAGUCCAUUUGCAUGCCAAUUAACGAGUUGAAAAGUAGGAGCACCUACCUCGUGCUCAUGGAACCGAAUGUCAGUGAAGUGGGGCUCCUUUUAGCCUCUUGUGUUUCUGUUCCAACCAAGGCGGCGUAGGGAAAAACAACAAUAUGUCUGUGCUAAAUAUCAACGCAUGAUAGAUGUUUUUUUUUUUUUUUUUGGUAUGUCAAGGCUAACGAAUGAAAUGCAUUAGCUUGUUUUGUGACUAUAACUGCAAAUGUCCAAAUUGGAGUAUCUCCAUUUCUCACUUCGGAUGGUUAACUUUAUAAACAAGAUAUAGGAAACAUGUGAACAUCUUGAGGAACAAUUCAAAUUAUUCAUUAGAAGUCCUGGGUUAAGUUCCAAGAUUUAAAUCAGACCCUUCUAGCAGCUUCAAGGGUACUUAGCAACCUAUAACAUAUUAAUGAAGAUUUAGGAUUUAGACUCCGGAAUACAAAUAAAUAUGUAUCUCAUGCUUUGACUAGCUUCCCUACAUAUGCAUAAAAUGGAGAUGACCCAAAAAAAAUAGCAGAAUCUAGCUUCCCUACAUAUGCACAAAAUGGAGAUGACCCAAAAAAUAGCAUAAUCGCCUUAGUUUCUGUGGUUAAGGUGAUUCUCCGCUUAAUAUCCACAUUGACUCAUUAUGCAAAAUCAACUGAGCUAAUUUUAUUUAUUUAUUUAAUGUCAAAUAGGAACUCCUAAUUAACUGAUUACUGUCGAAAAGUGCUAUUUUGUAGACCUAAUUAUAAGGGUUUUAAGCACCUUUGAGUAGUAAUCAUAUUCAUUUAACCUAAUUAAUUCAUUAAGCUCCUUAGUAAUUAGUUCUAACCAUUUUUAGUGGCAAGUUUACAUGUUUUUCAUCAGCUUAUGAACCAAUUCAAGCAUGCCAAUUGAUGGAGGAGCUACUUGGGCGAGUUAAGCAAGGAUUUUGGACGUUUACAGGCUUGAAUUUCAAGUGGAAACACGAGCACAAGCAAUGGGAACACCAUUUCGCAAGGGGAGGCAAUUCACCUUGCCAAAUGACCAAUUUCGCAAGGGGAUUUUCCUCAUGGUGCAAAAUUUGGUCAUUUCGCACCAUGAAGAAACCACCUUGCAAAAUUUCGCAAGGUGGAUUUAGGCACCUUGCGAAAUGCCAAAUUUCACAAGGUGGCUUUUCACCUUGCGAAAUUUGGACCUUUCAUCUUCCCCCCUUGCGAAAUGCCUUUGAAAUCCCCUGUUUUGAGACGCUGUUGAUGAUAUUCCACUGCCGGUUCUCCAAGAUAUUUUGCUUGACUUUUAGCUUUAUAAAUACCUAUUUUACCCUUGUAAUCAACCAAUGAAAAGGUUGCUUUUGUAAUAGCUCUUGUAAUUUAGCUUUUUAUUGUCUUUAAAUAGAGGUGAAGAGCCUCAGACACGAUCAUCUUGUAACCUGUAACUUUAUAAGUUAUAAGAGCACUUUUGUUCAUACGCUUCUUUUCUCUUUUCUUUCUCAUUUUCUUAGUAGCCAAACAUCCUUGGAGGAUGAAAUCCCCAAGGAUGAGAGGCUAAAACCUUUUAGUUUCUUGAAGUAAUGGAUGCCAUGUGAAGCUCCCGUGUCAGGAUGGAGAUUUCCAAGCCAUAAAUGUAAGUAGCUGAGCGUCAUAAAUGUUUUCAUUCAAAGUAAAGCUUUUAAUCCCUCUGACUUGCUUUGAAUGGCCAAUACUUGAUAACCUUUUGGUCUCAAUGGAUUCUUAUUGUUAGAUCCACUGACGUUCAUUAGUUAUCUCCUACGAGCCAUUGUAUUGCAAGUCGAGGAGAUGACCUAUACCAAUAAAAGAGCAUUUAUGAGGUUCAACUACCCUUUUUGUAAGUUUUCAAGGACUAAAACUCAGUUGUUAAACUCAUACCGGUUCGAGAAGUAAGCAUCACCUUAGUUGCUUCCCCAACUCGAGGUGAAAAGUCCCAAAAUCUCCAUUUUUACACAGUGAGUUAAGCAUGGCUAUCCAAAGCUUUAAGAAACUUCUUUUUCCAUCUUUUAACCUAUUUUCAUGUUAGUUUAGUUUACAACACCUUCAUCUUUUUAUGUUUUCAUCUUAACCUAAUUUUUAUUAAGAAAAGUUCACUCCAUCCUCCGAACUUCACCAGUUAAAGUAAAAACCCUUCCCAGUGUUCGAUCCUAGAGCCACUAUGCUAUAGUAGCUUUGCUACUUUAGUGUAAGGACCUUAGGUAUAAAUUUUGUUGAUACCCUUACAUGCCAAGCUACCAAGAGUCGGGUUAUCAUUAACCUAACCAUUGGCCUGUGUAAAUUGAUUUCACAUGCACAAUGUUGUAGUAGAAGUCCAUAUUUUGAAUUUUAUUUUUGUAAAGGUAAGGAAAAUGAAGCAUUGUGUAAUUAUAAAAAUAACUUCAUUGGAAUUCACAAGGUUCACCCAAAAUGGAGCUACAUCUGUAUUCUAUCCUACAGUAGACUAUAUAGAUUGUACAAUAGUAAAUUGCAAAUACAAUUAAUAAGUCUUGUGCUUCCUUACUAAUAAUCCUUUGACAUGAACAUUGCAGCACUAAGGUCCUCUUGGGAAGACACCUUGCACCCAUGAGAGCACUAAGAGGAAGCAAGGCAGAGUCAUGGGUGCAAUGUCAUGACUUGUUGUUGCACCAAGAGAGGCUUGGUGAUGCCAUGGUGUUGCAGUAGCAAGAAUGUUGCCUUGGCAGGGACACGAUCUAGGGAUAGAUGCCAAGAAAGGCUUAGCACUCACAUGAGUUGCACAAAGAUGAAUGUAAUAGAGCAUCAGAGAGACGUCUUGGCAAGUAAAUGAAUGGAUCCAAGAGACAACAACAUGAGGAGUUUCAAAUGGAUAAGGAAUGACUCAAAGACAUUUGAAAGCUACAAGUUGGAUUCUAAUUACGAUUGCAAUUUGAGUUUGAGUAGGAGUUUAGAUUUUGAUUGUAAUUGUAGUAUGAGUUGGACUAGGAUUGCUUAUCCUUAGUCAAUAUAGGAGCGGUUCGUGUCACCCUAUGAAAAGAGUUUGAGUAGGGACUAGGAUUGCUUACUCCUAGUCAAAUAUGGAGUAGGUGGUGCCACACCUAUAAAAAAAAGGGACAACAUGAGAGAGAGAGAGAGAGAGAAAGAGAGAGUGAAUUCACUAAAGAUAUUGUGGGAGUUUUGCUUUGUUACGUCUUGUAUUAUUACUUAGAAUAGGAAUAAAAUACAAGUUGGGGCUAGAGCCCCAUAAUUAAUCUCGUGUGCCUUUGUGGUUAUUCUUUAUUUGUCAUCUCGUGUGGAUUGGAUUAGGUUGACUUAGAGGGCUUCUAAGCACCACCUUUGUGGGUUAUUAUUUAUUUUCCAUCUCUUGUGGAUUAGAUUAGGUUGACUUAGAGGGCUUCUGAGCACCACCUUUGUGGGUUAUUAUUUAUUUUCCAUCUAUUGUGGAUUAGAUUAGGUUGACUUAGAGGGCUUUUAAGCACCACAUUUGUGGGUUAUUCUUUAUUUUCCAUAUCGUGUGGGUUGGAUUAGGUUGACAAGGAGAAAAAUUAUGUGGGAAAUUUGUGUUGGGACACUUACCAUAACCAAGUAAAAUCUACCAAGUCCUUUGUAAUAUCUUCAACAAAUAUUUUAGACUAGUUCUUUCAGUUAGUGUAAAGGAGGAAGAAGUGGUAUUGAUUCUAGAAAUAGGGUGUGUGUAUUUGAACUACAAUCCUUAUGAUCCUUAGGUCUCUAAACCUUCGUGAUGGGCUCCCUGACAUUUCAUAGGUUGUGCUACACAUGCGUUUGAAAUUUAGAGUGCGUUUGACAGUGAUUCCGGGAAGUGUUUUUGGCCUUUCUUACACUUGAAAAUUUUUAUUUUUCAAGUAUUAGAAAUGCUACAAACACUUUUGAAAAUUACUGUCAAACACACUCUUAGGAGCGCACAUAUAUAGUAGAAAACUAGAAAUUGUGGUUUUUUUAGGAUUUACUGUAAUGUCAUUAGGAGGGUAGUAAGUUGAAAUUGAGUAUGAACAAAUAUUUCUUUCUUUGGGAUGUUCUUCUAGUAGGUGCUGAUGAAACUGUUCUUUCUACUGCCAAUGUCACAUAUCAGCCAGAAAUUGAAAAUUUCAGUCAAGGUGUCCUCUGUUUUAGUGGUGAGGAAAGCUAGAAAUUUUAAGGUGAAGUUUUGUUAAAAACCUUAAGUAGCUGGGAUAUCAGGCCUGUUUUGCUUGAAAAAAAAAGUUGCAAGAUAACUCAUAUGCCAAACAGGUUCUGAUAUUGUGAAUCUAUCGGCAGACAUCAGUAAUCUCAUCUUCUGAGAUGGAUGUUGGGGGUGCAUGUGGUGGUGGAGGGGCAAGGUUUCAUUUGGUUUAUUUUGUUGAUGGAUAUUGUCUAGCCACCUGCGCCAAGUUUGAGGGGUGGUGGGUUGUGAUGACCCUACAAUUACUAUUAAUUUCUUCAUCUUUUACCGAUUAAAGUGUCCGAACAGUCGAAGUUACCCUUAUGCAUGUCAACUUGAUCACUUACCUCUUCAAUGGAGUUUAUGCUGGUUCAUUUAGGAACUGAUUUUUAUUGUUAUGUAUUAUAUGCUGAUGUUUAGGUCUCUCCAUCAUCACUAUAUACAAAAAUUCUAGGUUGAUACUAUAGGUUGAGAUUUAUUUUUUAAAUAAAAAAUAAUAAAAAUAAAAAUUAUGGUGAUGUUUAGUUGUUUUAUGGAAAAUUUUAACAAGUAAAAGUUAUUUUUGGGCAAGUUUUCAAACAAAAAGAAAAGUAAAAGUUGUUUUGACAAAAACAUAUAGAAAAAAAAAUCAUAGAAAAUAAAUAAUUUCCCCAUAUUCUAACUUUUUUGAAUUUUUCUCAAUGGGCAAAGGAAUAUCAAAUCAAGUUUGAGUAGGAUUUCUUAAUUUUUAAAAUAACUUACAAUUAAAAAAUUUUGGUGUUUUCAUUUUUGGACAAUUUUUUAUUAAGCAAAUGGACUCUGAGUCAUGCAAGAGAUAUGGUUCAUUAACCGGUCGAACAAUUUUUUUAAAUUAAUUUAAAAGUCAAAUACAUAAUCAAUUUCACAAAAUUUAUAAACAAAAAUAGGUUUAGAGAAGAUCUACACAUAAUUUUACUUUUCUAAUUUUAUUUUAUUUUAUUUUUUGUUGGAAAAUAGUCUUCAAAUCAUGUAAGAUUUAAUAGGUUAAAUUUGUUAACAAUAAAUUUUAAAUUAUAAAAUAUAAUCUGGAACUCAAAAAUCAAUUCAAGUAAUGCUAAAAAAAAAUCAAAUUUGGUAUAGAAUGACUUUGUAAAUUUUUUUACAAAACAAAUGAAUUUUAAAUCAAGUGAGAUUUAAUGCAUUAGAUUUUUAUCAAAUAUAGUAAUUUUAAAAAUAAAUUUGGAACUCAACAAUAGACACAAUAAAUACCAAAAAAUAAUGAACCAAAAUUGGUUUGGAAUAACUCCACAACCUUUUUUUUUUUUUUUUGGUGCACACGAAUUUUCUUACUAGGUAUAUUGCUUUCAAAUUGAGAAAGAUUUACCAUUUAGAUUUUUUUUUAAUGAGUUUAAUGGUAUUUUAAAAUAAUUCAAAAUUUAAAAAAUUGACUAAUUAAUAUUAUAAAUUGAUAAACCAAGACUAUUUCAAAAUGCAUUGGGGGCUAAGGGGGUUGAAAAUAGGGACAAUGGGAUGGGUUUGGGACAUGACACUCAUAUCUCAUUUCCAUUCCAAUUACACAGUUAUCUCCCAUCCUUAUCCCAAACUUGUGUUGGAGCAAGUUGAUUUGUUCCCAUCUUUGUUGACGAAAUGACUAAUAACCUCAUCCCCUCCUUAUCUUAGAUGUACAUUUUGUCAAAUUUGAUCAGGUAUGAUUGAUCCAAGCCCUAACCCUAAUUGGUAAUGAGUGAAUACUACACCUAAUUGCAUUCUUCUUUCAUUGCAAAAUAAUGAGAUUAUAAUAAUCUAGCAAAUAAGAAAAAAUAGUAUGGAAGUUCAAAUUAACACCAUAACUAUCAAUAAUUUUAAGCUUAUAGAUGACUUAAAUGAUUAAAAACUAAUGCAAAAUCCUAAAAAAAAUAAAAAUCAUAUAAAGAAUUCACAAGAGAACAGAAUGAACAAAAACCAAAUAUGAACAUGGGUCAACAUUAGUUAUGGAUUUGGAUUCCUUUCAAGGCCAAUCUUUGAACCAAGACUUCAUCAAAUCAACUACUUCAAAGGCUUUUGUGUUCUUCUUGGGUUGUGCUCUCAAACAAAGACUUCGAGGUGAUGUUCUAGAUGAUUGAAUUACACAUAUUUAGGGUGGAGAGAUUGGAGAAGCUUGAAGAUGCCAACGAUGGGUACAAUUGAGUGGUCAAUAAGAACAAUGUAGCCUAUGACUAGUUUGAUGUCAUGGUACAAGAGUUUUAGGCAUUGAGGUUAAAGCAAGAGCAACAUGGAAUUGAUUUCGGAGUCUUUCAGUUAGUGUAAAGGAGGAAGAAGUGGUGUUGAUUCUAGAAAUAGGGUUUUAAGUGGUGCGUGAUUACUACUCAAAAAGUGCUAUUUGAUAGCCUUUAAUUAAUCCUUUUUAACACUUUUGAGUAGUAGUUUAGGCCUUUUAACUCAAUUGGCAUGUUAAGGAUCCUUUAAAGCAAUUUUGAUCACUUUGUGCAAGUUUUGGUGUUUUUGUUAGUAUUUUGAUCACCAAAGCAAGUCAAGAAUGAGGAGAACUAUGAGGAAUCAUGGGCAAAGCUUAGAAUUCAAUUGCCAAGAGUGAAUCCGGAUUGCAAGGAGAAAAAGCAAAGAGAAUCUGUCAUGAAGCCUAUUCUUGAUGACAGUCGUAGCAGCCACUUUUGGAGCACUUUCUGAAGUCCAAAUGAUGCAAGCUAUAUACCAUUUCAAAGAUCAGGAAGUCAACAAUCCAAUGCUUCAAACGGUGCGCGAUUCGGAGUUGAAACGAAGAAGUUGCAGCCAUUACAAGCCAGUCACUCUAAAGUGUUGCGGAAUCAGCCUUUUGUUGCGAGAAUUUCGCAGCACUUUUGUACAGUAAGGUGUUUCUCCUUCUGACGAUGCACGAACCAUGCCGCGAGAGGGAAGCUAGGAACUUCAAGAUGGAAGCCAACUUUGCAGCCUGGUGAAGAUAGCUUGGUCUUGCGAAAUAAUUUCGCAGCCCUCUUGGGUGUCUGCGAAAUUUCGCAGGCACCACUUUUUUCCUGCGAAAUGGCUCCGGAAGCCUCCCGAAGCUUGCUACCGACAUUGGGAGAUAUUUUCCAUUAGAUUUUUGUUGUCUAAAUUCCAAAAUACUCCUUGUAAACCACCAAUUACAUGAUUCCUUAGUUUUUAAGUUAGUAAAAAGACCAAAUAUCUAUGUAAUAAUUAGUUUUAUAUUAGUUUGCUAUAAAUACCUCUCGGGAGCAUGUUCUCAGAGAGGAGUUCCUUCUGUAACCAUUUUGGUAAGCAAGUAAAGUCUUUUCUUUCUACUGCCUUACCUUCUCACUUUGUAUUUUCAUUUUAUUUCUAAGUUAUGAAUUCUCUGAGGAGCUUUCCCCAGAGAAUGAGUAACUAAACCUCCAAUUCCUUGGAGCUAAGGUUGCCGGGGAAGGUUCCAAGUGCAAGAAUGCAAAGCUCUGUGGUUUUAGCUAGUAAUGAAGAGGAAGUGAAAUCCUUUAGUGAUUUCAAUGUUUUUAGUUAACUUAAAACACCUUGGAGUCACCUGGGCCAACACUUGGUAAGGCAAGUGAUUUCCAACCGUGGAAAUGCACUAGUUUACCCCUUGCGAGCCUCUGGUAGGUGACUUCAAGGUAGGAUUUUCUGGAAUUACCAACACUUGGUAAGCUUUUGGACUCCUAGGAGACAUCCAUUAGUUAUCUCUUGCGAGUUUGUGAAGGGGAAUCCAAGGUUAAAGAUCACCUUGAAUGGUAAGUGCUCGUGAGAGGCAUGAACCAUUGCAAGUUGUAUCAGUGAGAGAAUUAAAGUGAAAUCUAAUUGAAGGAGUCUCUGUACAUCACCGGUUAGAGAAUUGACUAUAAGUUGAAUCUCUAAUGCGAGGAAAUGAACCAUCUGACCGGAGCUAUGUCUUUUGCAUGAGGAACCACCCCAGUGAACCUAAAUCUCCAAGGAAUGCUUUUCUUCCUAAAUUAUUCCAAACUUCUGUUAAGUUAGUUAGUUUAAGUCUAAACCUUUACCAAUCAAACUUUGUGUUUUAUUUCUUAAGCUAACCGUGAAAUGAAACAAAACCAAUUCACUUGGAAUUGGUAUCCUUGAUUGCUUGCAAAUCAUUCCCAGUGAACGAUCCUUAGAGCCACUAUACUAUAGUAGCUUUGUAUUUGCUACCCUAGUGUAUGGUGUUAUAGGUAUAAAUUUUGUUGAUCACUUCCUCAAUCAAGGAACACCAGCUGAACACAAAUCAGCUGAGACACCAAUUGGGCAUGAGUCAAAUGGCGCCGUUGCCGGGGAAUGAGUGUCAAGAUCAUUGUGAUACCAUUUUUGAGCACUUGUGAUUUUCAUCACAAGUUGGUAAAGUUUCUUUCACUUUACUAAUUUUCAUUCUCUCUUUGUUUAUUUACAAUCUAAGUUUAUCUUUUUAAAAUUUAGUCUAGUUUAAUUUUGCUAUUGUAGCCUUGUUUCUCUUGUUGUCCUCUGUUCUUGUUGUCCUCUGUUUUCAUUUUAGUUGCAGCUGAAUACUAGUUGUGUAUGCCAAAGUGGAUACGAGACAUUGGAGGUAGGCUUAUUAAGUGUGAUACACCUCAGAGAGGAGAAUUGGAAGUAAUCUUGAAUAUCAUGGAGGCUGCACCUGAAGAUCAGCAUAGUCACCAAGGUCGUCAAGACAAUCUCAAUGAAUUCAGAUCAAUGAGGGACCGUAUGCAUCCACCUCGUAUGAGUGCACCAUCAUGUAUAGUGCCCCCUACAGAGCAACUAGUGAUCAGACCAUAUCUUGUUCCACUUCUACCAACUUUCCAUGGGAUGGAAAGUGAGAAUCCGUAUGCACACAUCAAGGAAUUUGAAGAUGUUUGUAAUACAUUCCAAGAGGGAGGAGCUUCAAUUGAUUUGAUGAGGCUUAAGUUAUUUCCUUUUAAUUUAAAGGAUAAGGCCAAAAUUUGGCUUAAUUCUUUAAGGCCAAGGAGUAUCCGCUCUUGGACUGAUUUACAAGCUGAAUUCCUCAAGAAAUUUUUUCCUACUCAUAGAACAAAUGGCUUGAAAAGGCAAAUUUCAAACUUCUCAGCUAAAGAGAAUGAGAAAUUCUAUGAGUGUUGGGAAAGAUACAUGGAAGCUAUAAAUGCUUGUCCUCACCAUGGCUUUGAUACUUGGCUACUGGUGAGUUAUUUUUAUGAUGGUAUGUCCUCCUCAAUGAAGCAACUCCUCGAGAAAAUGUGUGGAGAAGAUUUCAUGAGCAAAAAUCCAGAGGAAGCUAUGGAUUUCUUGAGCUAUGUAGCUGAUGUUUCAAGGGGAUGGGAUGAACCAACUAAAGGAGAAGUGGGAAAGAUGAAGUCUCAGUUGAAUGCUUACAAUGCAAAGGCUGGGAUGUAUACUUUAAAAGAGGAUGAUGACAUGAAAGCAAAGUUGGCAGCUAUGACAAGAAGAUUGGAGGAGCUGGAGCUGAAAAGAAUGCAUGAAGUGCAAGCUGUUGCUGAAGCACCAGUGCAAGUGAAGUUGUGUCCCAAUUGUCAAUCGUUUGAACAUUUGGUAGAGGAAUGCCCUGCAAUUUCAGCUGAAAGGGAAAUGUAUAGAGAUCAAGCAAAUGUUGUUGGACAAUUCAGGCCCAAUAACAAUGCUCCUUAUGGAAAUACCUACAAUUCAAGUUGGAGGAAUCAUCCAAAUUUUUCAUGGAAGGCCAGAGCAACUCAAUACCAACAGCCGGAUCCACCAUCUCAACAAUCUUCAAGUAUUGAACAAAUAAUAGCUAAUCUCAGCAAGGUAGUGGGAGAUUUUGUGGGAAAGCAAGAAGCCACCAAUGCUCGAGUGGAUCAAAGAAUGGACAGAGUGGAUCAAAGAAUGGACAGAAUGGAGAGUAUGUUGAACAAAAGAAUGGAUGGAAUGCAAAAUGAUAUGAAUCAAAAAUUUGAUAACAUCCAAUAUUCAAUUUCAAGGCUUACAAAUUUGAAUACACUGCAAGAAAAGGGAAGAUUUCCUUCUCAACCUAACCAAAAUCCCAAAGGUGUCCAUGAAGUGGAAAGCCAUGAGGGAGAAUCAUCACAGGUGAAAGAUGUGAAAGCUUUGAUCACUCUAAGGAGUGGUAAGAAAAUUGAGCAGCCAACACCCAAGCCACAUGUUGAGAAAGAAGAAGAGAUGAAGAAAGGGAAGGAAAUGGAAGAUAAAGGCAGUGAGAUCAGUGAAGAAAAGAAGGACUCUGAUGCAACAAUGAAAGUAAUUCCAGAGAAGGAGCUUCUGAAGGAAGAAAUGCUGAAGAAAUCAACUUUUCCACCUUUUCCUCAAGCAUUACAGGGGAAAAAGGGGGUUAGAAAUGCAGCUGAAAUCCUAGAAGUAUUGAGGCAAGUGAAAGUUAAUAUUCCACUGCUGGAUAUGAUCAAACAAGUUCCAACGUAUGCAAAAUUCCUAAAGGACUUGUGUACUAUCAAAAGAGGGUUGACUGUAAACAAGAAAGCCUUCUUGACUGAGCAAGUAAGUGCAAUCUUACAGUGUAAGUCUCCUUUGAAGUACAAAGACCCUGGAAGUCCUACCAUUUCAGUCAUGAUUGGAGGAAAGGUAGUGGAGAAAGCCUUGCUAGACUUGGGAGCAAGUGUGAAUUUGCUUCCAUAUUCUGUCUACAAGCAACUGGGACUUGGAGAGUUGAAGCCAACAGCAAUCACUUUGUCUCUGGCAGAUAGAUCAGUGAAAAUUCCAAGAGGGGUAAUUGAGGAUGUAUUGGUUCAAGUAGAUAAUUUCUACUAUCCUGUAGAUUUUGUUGUUCUUGAUACAGAUCCUACUGUAAAGGAAGCUAAUUUAGUUCCUAUCAUCCUUGGAAGGCCAUUUCUUGCAACUUCAAAUGCAAUCAUCAACUGUAGAAAUGGGCUUAUGCAACUCACUUUUGGUAACAUGACACUGGAUCUAAAUAUUUUCUAUAUGUCUAAAAAGCAAAUCACUCCAGAAGAAGAAGAGGGUCCAGAAGAGCUAUGUAUUAUUGAUACUUUGGUGGAGGAGCACUGCAAUCAACAUAUGCAAGAUAAGUUGAAUGAAAGUUUUGUGGAUAUUGAGGAAGGUUUUUCUGAAUCUCCUAAUGGGCUUGCUACUCUACAAAGUUGGAGAAAGAUAGAAGGAAUUCUACCUUUGUUCAAUGAAGAAGAGGAGGCAGCUGUUGAAAAAGAAAUUCCAAAACUCAAUCUGAAGCCUUUACCUAUGGAGCUGAAAUAUACAUAUCUUGAAGAAAAUAAUCAAUGUCCUGUCGUAAUAUCUUCAUCUCAAACCAAGUCUCAAGUGAAGGAUGCAAGCUUCAAAUGGGAUCCGGGCAAACUGAAUCAGGAAGGGCAAAAAGUUUUGAUGUAUGACACAAGACUCCAUAUCUUUCCUGGGAAGCUCAAGUCAAGGUGGAUUGGUCCAUUUGUUAUUCACCGAGUAUAUUCCAAUGGAGUGGUGGACUUAUUGAAUUCCAAUGGCAAGGACAGCUUUAGAGUCAAUGGAUAUCGUCUUAAGCCGUUCAUGGAGUCAUUCAAAUCAGAAAAGGAGGCAAUCAACCUCCUUGAACCUCAAAAAGCCUAAGUGAAAUGGGUUUGCUGGACGUGGUUUUACCACAGUCCAAAAAUUUUUGUAAAUUUUGUAAAUUUUCAAGUUGUUUCCAUGCUUUUAAUCUUAGUUUUUGAUUUUAAAUCAUGUUUUUAGGUGUGUUUUAAUCGUUUUAUAUGAUCCCAGGCGGAAGAAAUUUCAAGGGGAUUGAAAAGAAAAAAAUCGGGUCGAAAUUGGAGCCGAAACAGAGCAAAAACAGGGGAAAAACAGAGCUCUGCGAAAUUUCGCAGGGUGAAGGAAACUUCUGCGAAAUUGGCAUUUUGCUGCCAAACCAUUCCGCAGCACUGUAGAAGCCUCUGCGAGUGUAUUUCGCAAUUGCGAAAGUGGAUUUGGCACACGAGUGCCACUUCGCAGCACAGUGACAUCAAUUUCGCAGCUGCGAAACUCACUGCGAAGUUGCUGCGAAAAUGGCAAGUUGCUGCGAAAUUGGCGUUUUGUUGCGAAACGUAAUCUGACCCCUGGGCUUCCGUUUUUCCUAUUUAUACCUGUCAAAAGUGCUGCGAAAAAGGUUUCAAAAAUUAGAGCACCAUUCUCGCAGCCCUUUCAUCUUCUUCGCCAAGCCACGCCGUCCGUUUCUCCGGUCGUCUUCUCCGUUUAGCAGCGCCGGCCAAAGAUCGAUAGCCCAAAAAUGGCACGAACGCGAGGGGCAAAGUCUUCAUCCCCUUCGAACCGCAAAAGGAGUCUGCGAAAGGAGCCAAGUUCAGGCUCUGUUCCAGAACCUGCUCCAAAGCCUUCGCCGUCGAGACCACAACCUUCUCCAGUGAAGCCGGCGCCACCAAAGCCGCCGGCAAGGCGAUAUUUAACCAGGUCAGGUGGUCAGCCAUUGAAGAAGAAAGCCAGAGUUGAGAGCUCUGAACCAAUCGAUUUGACUGAGCAAUCCCCUGAGAAAUCACCAAAUCCUUCACCGGUACAAAUUCCAGUGCCAUCACCGGUUCCCUCGCCAAUUCCCUCACCAGAAGCAACUCCAAUUCCAUCGCCGGUACCAUCUCCGGCACCCCAAGAAAAAGCUCAGGAGCCUCAAGCGCCAAUUCCAGAGCCCCAAAUUGCAGCUGAAGCACCUCUGGAAGAAGUGAUCCGAAGGCCAAUGCUGCCUCAGCCCCCAAUCGAAGGAAACCUGGAUUGCCGAACUCGGGCAUUCCAUUCUGAGCUUUGCUUCGAUUUAACAGCAUUCAGAGUGAGGCCAGAGCUUGCCCAAUCCUUCCAACUGCUGAGGAGAUAUCAUAUGGAGCAUCUGCUAGCUCCAAGGGAUUUUUUCUAUCCCCGGGUAGUCACGGAUUUCUACCAAACCAUGACAACCAAAGAAGUAAGAAAUCCAACUCUGAUUCAUUUCAUAAUUGAUGGAAGGCAUGGUAUUUUGGGAGCAAGACAUAUUGCUGAAGCCCUGCAAAUUCCUUUUGAGCCAACUCAAUUCGACAAUUUUAAAGCUUGGACAAAUCCUACUGAGUUAGAGAUGGUUAGCACACUAACCAGAGGAGCUGCAAAUCGAUCGCAUUUGUUGAGGGGGGAGCUACCUCCAGUUAUGUUUUUGAUUGAUGCCUUUUUGAGGCAUAAUAUCUAUCCCCUGCAGCAUUGGACCCAAAGAAGGGGAAUUCUCCUAGAAGCCUUGUACAAAAUGUCUGAAGGAUUCUUCUUUGGGCCUCAUCAUCUGAUCAUGGCAGCCCUUCUAUACUUUGAGGAGAAGGUUCACAAGAAGAAGCUUCAAAGAGCAGAUUGCAUUCCACUCCUCUUCCCAAGGCUGCUAUGCCAAGUUUUGGAGCAUCUCGGAUACCCCUCUGAGCCUCAGCAGGAAAGAAAGAGAAUAUGCCGUGAGCCUUUUACCCUUGAUAAAUGGAAUAAUAUGACGGCCUACAAAAUUGAUCAGCCUGGGCAGCCUCAGCCAGCAGCAAGGAGAGUCUCCCCAAGACAUAUACCUGAAGGUAUAACACUUGCUACUCCUGCCAUCCCUCGAGCUCCACCAGCUGCACCUGCUCCAUCACAGCCAUCCACAUCAGCUGAGCCGAGGAUGGCCAUCCCUAUAUCCGAAUAUCGAGAGCUGUGCCGUGCAUUGGAGACUCUUACAGCUUCUCAGAGCAAUCUUGCUCAGGAGUUGGCAGCCAUUAAAGCAUGCCAGGAGCAGAUGUUAGCCUCUCAGACUCAACAAGCUGCCAUCCUAAGGCAGCUUCAAGUCCAUUUCGAUCUGCCACAAGCUGUAGAGCCCUCUAUUCCUACUCCACCAGAGCCACACUCUCAGCCUUCAGAGUCUCAUCCUCCAGAACCCGAAGCACCAGCUGAUCCACCUACUGAGGAGGCAGAUCCUUCUGCCUAGCACCAUCACCCCCCUCAUCAGACAUUAUAUAUAUAUUUGCUGUUUAUGUUUUUAUGCAUGUUUGUUUUGUUUUAGUUGAAAAGAAAUCCCAGUAUUUUGGUACUAUAUAUGGGAUUCCUUGUGUUACUUGUCUUUAGUAUUGUAAUCACAUGAACUCAAAGUAAUACAAGUUGACUAUUUCUUGUUAAAAGUUAGCAUUAAAGUUUCCUUAUUUCCUUUUCUCACAUAUUCUAUUCUUUUUGAAACAUGUGGUUUUCCCCAAUCAAUAUUCGAAUUUGAUAUCAGCAUGGAGGUACCACUUCCUCCCUUUUAUUACAGUCACUCAAAUCACAUUGAGGACAAUGCUCAGUUCGGUUGGGGGGUAUGAGGAAGGAAGUAUUCUAAACCUUUUUGGUAUUGCAAUUAUAUUGGUUAAUUAGUUGUAGAUUUUACUUUUUACUAGUGUUACUCUAUUCUCCAUGAAUUUUGAGGAAAAAUUUUCAAAUUAAACCAAGAGAAAUUGAACUGUUGUUUUUCACUUGACUUAGAGUAUGGAUUAUGCUUACUAAAGUGGUUCAAUUGUUGAAACUUCUACUGAAAUUGAAUUGAGUUCUUCCACUUUAAGCUAUCCACACACUGUGCACAUUAGUUUCCGAUUAUAAGAUGAAAAGCUAUUUCCCUCUUGACUUAGUAUAUUUUUGGGACUUGGUAUAUUUGACCUCAUUUGAUAAAAAUUGAAACACCCUGCAAAAGGCCAAUGAGCCUUUGAAAUAAAGAAAGUUGUUUGCUUGCCUUGAAACCCGAGCAAGGUCUGAGGGGUAUAUGGUGAAAAUCUUUAAAGCCUGGUGCCCUAAGCCUUAAUUGGUUGGGAGUCACCGACCUCAAUGCUCGUUACAAGGGUGAAUAGGUAGAGUUAGCAUAUGGUAGAUGCUUGGGUAUUAGAAAUUCAUUCUUAAAAGUCCGGGGAAAAAUCCGAGGAGUUAGUGGUUGAAAGAUCCUUAAAACUUGGUGCCCUAAACCUUAAUUGGUUGGGAGUCAUCGAUGGACCCCCAUUACAUGGACAAGUCAGAAAGAGUACCCCAUAAAGCUACCUUAAAAAAAAAAAAAAAAAAAAAAAAAAAAAAAAAGAUGAAAGUGUGUUCUUUUCUUAUUGAUUUUGGUCAGUUUGCUAAAGUGUUGAAAAGAGAUAGGUUGGGGGGUGAGAUUAGUAGCAUAUUAUUCUCGGAACCUAAGGAACCAAUACACAUAGAUUUUUGUGGAAGAUUGAAGUUUAGUUCUUAGAAAAUGAAAUGAUUUUAAAACUUCAGUUUGCAUAAUGCACUCCCUUGAUUGACAGUGUUUAGCAUAGGUGUUAUGACUCUUGUUGAGAUUUGGGUUUGUAUUUCUUUAAUGAUUCAUGUGAGAAAUAGAUCAUCAUGCCACUUGAGAAUUAUUUUCCUUUUAGCAUGAUGUUGUAAAUUUUAGAUUAGUUUGCUAUUUAUUUUUUAUUUUCUCUCCUAUAUUGCUAAGGGACUAGCAAUAUGUCGGUUGGGGGGAGUGAUUACUACUCAAAAAGUGCUAUUUGAUAGCCUUUAAUUAAUCCUUUUUAACACUUUUGAGUAGUAGUUUAGGCCUUUUAACUCAAUUGGCAUGUUAAGGAUCCUUUAAAGCAAUUUUGAUCACUUUGUGCAAGUUUUGGUGUUUUUGUUAGUAUUUUGAUCACCAAAGCAAGUCAAGAAUGAGGAGAACUAUGAGGAAUCAUGGGCAAAGCUUAGAAUUCAAUUGCCAAGAGUGAAUCCGGAUUGCAAGGAGAAAAAGCAAAGAGAAUCUGUCAUGAAGCCUAUUCUUGAUGACAGUCGUAGCAGCCACUUUUGGAGCACUUUCUGAAGUCCAAAUGAUGCAAGCUAUAUACCAUUUCAAAGCUCAGGAAGUCAACAAUCCAAUGCUUCAAACGGUGCGCGAUUCGGAGUUGAAACGAAGAAGUUGCAGCCAUUACAAGCCAGUCACUCUAAAGUGUUGCGGAAUCAGCCUUUUGUUGCGAGAAUUUCGCAGCACUUUUGUACAGUAAGGUGUUUCUCCUUCUGACGAUGCACGAACCAUGCCGCGAGAGGGAAGCUAGGAACUUCAAGAUGGAAGCCAACUUUGCAGCCUGGUGAAGAUAGCUUGGUCUUGCGAAAUAAUUUCGCAGCCCUCUUGGGUGUCUGCGAAAUUUCGCAGGCACCACUUUUUUCCUGCGAAAUGGCUCCGGAAGCCUCCCGAAGCUUGCUACCGACAUUGGGAGAUAUUUUCCAUUAGAUUUUUGUUGUCUAAAUUCCAAAAUACUCCUUGUAAACCACCAAUUACAUGAUUCCUUAGUUUUUAAGUUAGUAAAAAGACCAAAUAUCUAUGUAAUAAUUAGUUUUAUAUUAGUUUGCUAUAAAUACCUCUCGGGAGCAUGUUCUCAGAGAGGAGUUCCUUCUGUAACCAUUUUGGUAAGCAAGUAAAGUCUUUUCUUUCUACUGCCUUACCUUCUCACUUUGUAUUUUCAUUUUAUUUCUAAGUUAUGAAUUCUCUGAGGAGCUUUCCCCAGAGAAUGAGUAACUAAACCUCCAAUUCCUUGGAGCUAAGGUUGCCGGGGAAGGUUCCAAGUGCAAGAAUGCAAAGCUCUGUGGUUUUAGCUAGUAAUGAAGAGGAAGUGAAAUCCUUUAGUGAUUUCAAUGUUUUUAGUUAACUUAAAACACCUUGGAGUCACCUGGGCCAACACUUGGUAAGGCAAGUGAUUUCCAACCGUGGAAAUGCACUAGUUUACCCCUUGCGAGCCUCUGGUAGGUGACUUCAAGGUAGGAUUUUCUGGAAUUACCAACACUUGGUAAGCUUUUGGACUCCUAGGAGACAUCCAUUAGUUAUCUCUUGCGAGUUUGUGAAGGGGAAUCCAAGGUUAAAGAUCACCUUGAAUGGUAAGUGCUCGUGAGAGGCAUGAACCAUUGCAAGUUGUAUCAGUGAGAGAAUUAAAGUGAAAUCUAAUUGAAGGAGUCUCUGUACAUCACCGGUUAGAGAAUUGACUAUAAGUUGAAUCUCUAAUGCGAGGAAAUGAACCAUCUGACCGGAGCUAUGUCUUUUGCAUGAGGAACCACCCCAGUGAACCUAAAUCUCCAAGGAAUGCUUUUCUUCCUAAAUUAUUCCAAACUUCUGUUAAGUUAGUUAGUUUAAGUCUAAACCUUUACCAAUCAAACUUUGUGUUUUAUUCCUUAAGCUAACCGUGAAAUGAAACAAAACCAAUUCACUUGGAAUUGGUAUCCUUGAUUGCUUGCAAAUCAUUCCCAGUGAACGAUCCUUAGAGCCACUAUACUAUAGUAGCUUUGUAUUUGCUACCCUAGUGUAUGGUGUUAUAGGUAUAAAUUUUGUUGAUCACUUCCUCAAUCAAGGAACACCAGCUGAACACAAAUCAGCUGAGACACCAAUUGGGCAUGAGUCAGUGCGUUAGAGGAUCAAGAAGAAGAAAAAGAAGGAACUGUUGGAAUUAGUAUGAGUGUGAAGAGAAAAGUAUAUAAAUAAGGGGAAGUAAAAGCAAAGUUCAAAAAGCUAUAUUUUUUUAUUGUUGGUGUAUGGUUGCAUGAUUAUCCCUAUAAAUAAUAGGAGUUUUUUGGUAUUCUACUAGUAGUUGAAGCAUAAUUUCAUAAAUUAAUAUUUAGAGCGGGGUGGGGUGAGUUGUGACAAAAUUCAUACCCGUCCCAAACCUUGGUUCAGAUUUUUAAAAUAUUCUCAAACUUAUCAUAUACCCAACUUUUAUAUUUCAUACUUGUCCUAAUAGAGGCACGUUAGGCCGGGUUACUUGAGUAACCUACAUAAUUGUCAUCCCUAGUUGAAAUACACUUUUUGGCAGUGGCCACCAACUGAGCUAGAAGCUUGAUUGAUUGACCUACAAGAUUAGUUCUCAUCAUUUUAAAAAAAGUUCUGGCUUUGGUUGUGAGUGCAAUUGAAUCUAAACUGGCAUUUGCUUAAUGCAUCUACUUCAAUCCUAAACUUCUUACUUCUUAAGCCUCAAUUGUUGUUAGGAUUUUGGAAAACCCAUUUCCUUAAAUUGUAAAUUUAAGAUAAAAUAAAAUAAAAGUGAGACAUUUCUUGAUUGAAUAUUGUUAAAGGUCCCUUGGCAUUAAGACUUGGUUGAAGCCUUGGAAGAUUAGUGGAACUCUCAACAUGUGUUUGAAUCUUGAGGAGAGUGGAUGUAAGCCAAAAUUUUGUCAAACCAUUAUACAAAUUGAGUUUGAAUCCUCAUUUCUUGAUUUCUUAUUUAUUUGCUUUUUCUUAUUAUUACUUGAAUUGUCAUUUGCAUUCAUUAAUGUUAAAAUUGGUUAUAAUUAACCAACACUAAUUCUCUUUCCCCUUCCCUUUCUUGGGUGUAAACCUAGGUUGGAUUAACUAGAUAAAUCUAUUAAGAUGGUAAAAGAAUAAUUAUUCUUAACAUACAUAAGAUCAUCUUCAAUCAAAUGACUCAUUGGCUAAUAUGUUGAAUUUGCUUAUUACUUGCAACUCAAAAUUGUGUUCUAGUUGUGUCAAGUCCCCAGUGUAUGGACAUUAAAUUUGUAGUACGUGAUGAGUAAUUAGAUGGUCCAACUCCAAGAAAGUGAUUGAAAAGUAGUUCAAGAAAGGUGCAAAAGGGAAUUGUUUUGGUAUUUUCGUUUUUAUUCUUGAAGGUGGCAGAGCUAAAAUUUGAGAAAUCAAGCAAAACAUACUGAAAUUACAUUGAAAGAAAGAAGAUGGGAGUUAAUGUCUUGCAGUACAUGAUAAGGACUUCAUGCAUGUAGUGUGACCCAUGUCUUGGACUGAUGCCAACUCACGGUUACACUUAUACCCUUGGUUCUCUCUUUACUACCUUGGCUAACCUAGAUCAGGCUAUGAGAUAGGCUCCUCACCACACCAUUACUUGCCCAUUAAUUAGAGACAUUUUCAAGCAAUGAGGUAACAUGGUGACACCAAGAGGGUCUAUUCCUCGCCCGGAACAAGUCUAGACUUGGUCUCAAAAAAAUGGAGAAAAAUGAGGUGUCGUUAUGUAGAAAUACAACAACCAUGCCUUCCUCAUUACUUAGAUUCAGAAUGUGAAGGUGAAAUUGAGAAACAGAAACUCUUGAAACCAAAAUGAAAAUUGAUACUUUUACGAAGAAUUACAACAACAUUAGAGGAAGACUACAUUCUUCCUCUUUAUUCCUACAUUUCUACACUACUUCUACUCCACUCCAUAUUUCUACAUACAUCUUUAAUCAGUCUUCCCUCCUUUAUAUAGAGCCAUCUUCACACAAAUUUCGCAAGGUAGAAAAGAGGAAUGAAACUUGGAGCAAGGUUCGACUACUGGUUGUAGCUUGUCAAGGCUGGAAGUGAACUUUUCUUGGCUUUCUGGGCAUGGGUAGUAACUUGUGGGUUCCUGUUUGGCAUAAAAAUGGCUAGAACAUGUGGCACUAUCUUGUUGGAUGAUGUGUCAAGCAUGUGGCAGCCAUCUAGUGGCGAUUAUGUCAAUUUUGGGAUGGAGAGUUGGCAUCCAAUUGCAAAGAAAUAUGACGUCUACCAACAUGCAAUGUAAACCUAUGUAGAUCAUAUGAAGAUAGAGAGGAAAAAUAUAGAAAUGGAUAUAUACCUAGAACUAGCUUUUUAUUAAAUGAAACGGAGAGACAACAAUGAAGGAAAAUAAAAUUUUUUGGCUUAUAUCAAAGAGUUCACAUUGUGUUACCCUAGGUUUUCUUAAAACUUACUUUUAUGAUAACAAAAAAGAAAAAACCAUUAUUGUUUAAUCCUUUGUUUUAAACGCAUGUAAGGUGUAAUUAAGUUAGUUCAAUGCAUUAAUUUAAGAAACUUGACCUAUCAAAAGUACAAAAUUAGAUGAAAUCCAUUUCAAUGGUUAAAAUGAUCAAAAUCAAACUUUUUCUAAGUAUUUUUUAAAAGCAUCAAUAGUGAAAGACAAUUUUAUAUUUAGUCGGAGUUUGGACAAAACUGAAAAACACACAAAAUCCAAGCGACCAUCUCUAGCUUGGAUGGUCGCUUGAUCCCACCUAGAGAUGUGCAUGAGUAAAAGGAUUUGAAAAUGGAAAUUGACUAUGUAGUCGAUCAAUUAACUUUGCAACAUCAUAUGCAAUCCUAAUUGCUAGUCAUCUAAUCAAUUAGGUAGUCAAUCAACAGGCCAAAAAUAUGUUUAUAAUGACUAUUUUGUACAAAAACCACCUGUAUAGUUAAAUAUAAUGCAUUUCAUUUAUAAAUCUUCUAAUUCUUGAAUAACGAUCCUAUCAUCCUUUGAAAGUUUUUAUUACACUUUUUUUACUUUUGUUCUAAAACUUACACAUCACCCUUAAUUGUACCAUGAGAACCUAGCUAUUUUUUAUUUUUUUUUUUGUAAUUCAUCAAAGUUAGCUUUUGUAUUCAUUGUUGUAUUAUUUUUAGUAUAACUUAGAAAGCUAGUGUUUUCAAGUGAGUAAAAUUAACUUGUAAAUAUUGUAAAGAUUCAUCGACAUGUAUCUUAAACUAAGUGUACAAGUUAAAACAUUUGCUAGUAGAUUUUCUCAAAAUUUAGAAUAGAGCUUGAGACUAUUGAAAUAGGUGGGGUUGCACCAAACCACAUCACAUCGUUGUUUGCACCUUUUUUCACUCUCUUUUACUUAGUUGCUCUAUAUUUGUUGUCUAGUAAUAUCCUAUAGGCUUGAUGGGUUAGGGAGCAUCCCUUUGUGAAAAAAUUUUAUUCAAUCCUUAGUUGUAUCACGCAUAUAUAAAAUGCCUCAUUGUUUUAAUGGUAUUCAGUCGUGGCAUCACAGAUAUGGGCAUCUAAAUUUUAAAAGUUUGAAACUUUUAUCUAAAGAAAAUAUGGUGCUUUGCCUUUUUGUAAAGCAUGUUGAUGAAAUCCAUGAGAAUUGUGUACUUGGGAAGCAACACCGAGAUGACUUUUUUUUUUUUUUUAUAAUAUUGUUUGUCCAAAUUCCCUACAAAUUAGGCCACCAGAUGUUCAUAAUUCUCCCUUCUUGAAUUUGAAAACUCGGACAAUUGGACAAUGCGACACCUAAGUCCGGUUUCUAAAUGCUAAAGUGAAAGGGUAGGUAUGGACCAUUGAAAUGUGAUCACAACUUUUCUCUGUAGCCAUGUUGUCUCUUUUUUCUUUUGCAUGAUUUUCUUACCUUAACAGAAUCAUAGACUUGUUUAGUCUCUAAAUGGGAUUAAUUUCAUCCAGCUUUAAGCUACUAUAUUAUAUCUAGGUGGAGGACUUUUAAGAGUGCAACCGACAUAGAGCACAUGGAAGUGGGUAUAUGGGACAUGAAAUUUCUUCUUAUAAAGAUUGCAUGAUUUUUAUAUUAGAGUUGUUGAGGCGCUAUGUAUUUAGCUUGUUUUGCAGUUAAAUUAAUUGGAUAAGUAGACAUUGGCGUUUCUAAAUCUACUGUGAAGUGCUUCAUGUACGUGUGAAGUAUUAGAAAUUUCUUUCUUGGCAACUUGUUUUUCUUUGCGGUCUACUGAUAGGUUUGACUAAAAUUAUAUUCCCUGUCAUGCUAAUUAAUUUUCACGUGCAUGCUCAAAAGAAAAGUAUGACCUUAGUGCACCAAAAUCACUUUGAUUAAUUUGUGAUAGGUUUUUGUGCAUCAUGACAUUAGCCUUAUUCAUUUAGAUAAUGUUUAGUUUUUAGAAAGUAUUAAGAAAAGGAAAAUAAAUAUUAAGAAAAAUAUUCUUAUAUUUGAUUGUAUUAUGAAAAAUAUCAUAAAAAAAUCAAAUAUAAUUUAAAUUAAUUAAUAAUUUAUACAUUUUCAAAUUAUUUAAUCUUUAUAUUGAAGAUAUAAUAUAAAUGAAAUGAGUUUUAAGUAUUAUAUAAAAGUGAUUUAUUGAUCUUACAUAUAUAUAUUUCUUUUUUUUUUCCUUCUAUUUUUUCUCUUUAUUUUAUUUUCCUUAUGUUUUCCUCAACAUUUUCCGGAACCAAACAUAGCCUUAGGAAAUCCACAAUUACCUUCAACUGAGUAGAUUCUGUUGUUUUAGCAAUGUUAGGCUGCUAACUUGUGUUGGUACGAACCUAUUAAGCCUAAAGAUGUAAUUAGUUAGGAUAUUCUUUUCCCUCUAGUCUUGUAGCUCCACGUGUACAGUUGGUUAGGACCUCAUUGUAUAUAAUGCUUGCCCUGUUAUUGUAGAAGACAACAAAGAUAAAUAAUAUUAACAUUUUUCCUCUCAUCUCUCUCUGUUUCCCUCUGUUUUCAUCUCCUCUCUCAUCUUGGUAUCAGAGCCUCCAUGGCUUCUUUCAAAGAAACCUCCGAAUCACCUUCUGCUAGCAUUGUUAAUGUGCAAAACCCAUUAUCUCAAUCAAACAACCUUCCUUCACCAGUAGCCACACCCUCUUUUUCUUUCUCGUCUAUGAAUCAACCUCUCACAGUGAAGCUGGAUAAUGGGAACUACCUCAUAUGGAAGAAUUAGCUUCUAAAUGUCAUCAUUGCUAACGGACUCGAUGAUUUCAUUGACGGAUCUCGACCCUGCCCUCCUCGAUUUCUCGAUCUGCAACAACAAACCCUCAAUCCAGAGUACUCAGCUUGGCAGAGAUACAAUCGACUUCUGAUGAGUUGGCUGUACGCAUCCUUGUCCAAAGAUAUAAUGGCUCAGAUUGUUGGGUAUUCAACAGCUAUGGAGAUUUGGAAUGCCCUUAAUCAGAUUUACUCUGCCUCUUCUAUGGCGCGGUUUACUGAGCUUCGCACCAAGCUUCAAACGCUCAAGAAAGAUGGACUCUCAGUUGGUGAAUAUAUUCAAAGGCUCAAAUCCAUUUGCAAUAGUCUUGCAGCAAUAGGAGAACCAGUUUCUGAGAAAGACCAUCUUAUCUAUUUGUUCAAUGGAUUAGAUUGUGAGUAUUAUUCUUUUGUUACCUCCAUUCAAAAUCGAUCUGACCAACCAACUAUUGACAAAAUCCAUAGCCUAUUGCUUAGCUAUGACUUCCGGCUUGAACAACAAAACUCUGUUUCUCUCCAUUCUGCCCAAGUCCAUAUGGCUCAUCUGAACAAGAAACCUUAUAAAUCAACUCCUCAACCUACAUUCAAUCAUAUUCACAUUCAACCUAGAUACUCUUCUCCACCUUUUAAGCCAACCACUAGUCAAUAUCAACCCAACAUUUUGGGCAAACCACAACCACAACCAUGACAGCCUCAACCUCAAUGGAAACCACAUUUUUCAAUCUAAAAUCAAAAGCCUCAGCGCCAAAUUUGUGGUAAAUUUGGACACACUGCUCUUAUUUGCUUCCAUCACACAAAUUUGAACUAUUCACCCCAACCUUCUCCUAAAUCUUUCAAUACUGUUCUCACCACAAAUUCCCAGCUCCCUAAUCCUCCAAAAUUUUCUUACCCUACAAUGGCUCAUCCUGCUGCUACGCAUAACACGGUUCCCGAUACAAAUUGGUACAUGGACUCAGGUGCUACACAUCACUUUACUCUGGACAUCAACGUGCUUGACACUGUGACACCAUUUAGUGGUUCAGAACAGGUGACAGUUGGGAAUGGUAAGCAACUCUGUAUCUCACAUCUUGGUACUGCAAAACUACCAUCUUCGUAUUCUCCUCCUGUUCUACAUCAGGUAUAUCACACUCCAAAAAUUUCAAAUAAUCUUAUUAGUGUUAAAAAAUUGUGUUCUGAUAAUAAAGUUUUUGUUGAAUUUUAUGCCACUCAUUUUCUUGUCAAGGAUCAGGUUUCGAAGAGAGUUCUCCUUUAGGGUCAACUUGAUAAUGGCUUAUACAAAGUUCAGUCGUCAUGCUCUCCUUCUGCUGUUUCCUUUCCUCCUCAAGUUUUCAUAGCCAACAUCAAGUAUCCAAAUCUGUGGCACAAGAGACUAGGCCACCCAGCUUUAUCUGUUGUUAAUCAAAUCUUGGAUUCUUGUAACAUUGCUCGAACACAGAAAAUUUGUUUUAAUUUUUUAAAUUCUUGUCAAUUAGCAAAGAGCCACAGGCUUCCUUUUUCUCUGUCUCCAUCCAUUGCAGAAAAACCUUUUGAGUUAAUUCAUACAGACCUAUGGGGUCUUUCGCUCGUUCGCUCUAUUUCUGGUGCUCUUUAUUUUUUACUUUUCAUUGAUGAUCAUACUCGUUUUACUUGGUUUUAUUUGCUCAAAACAAAAGAUGAAGCAUAUCCUACUUUUCUCAAGUUUCAAGCUCUCAUUGAAAAUCAAUUUAAUACCAAGAUUAAGGCUGUCCAAUCUGAUUGGGGAGGUGAGUUUCGAUCUCUCUCCAUACCGUUUUCAAAUAUGGGCAUUGUCUAUUGUUUAUCGUGUCCAUACACCUCACAACAGAAUGGGCGAGUUGAGCGAAAAAAUCGCCAUGCGAUUGUCCUUUCUUGCUUGCUCUAUGCCCUUAUCUUAUUGGCCUUAUGCCUUUCAAACUGCCACUUACCUUAUUAAUCGUCUCUCUACCCCUGUGCUGCAUCAUCAAUCCUCUUACUUCGCACUCUAUCACAAACUCCCAACUUAUACUCAUCUUAAGGUCUUUGGUUCCUCUUGUUUUCCGUAUUUGCACCCUUAUAAUACCCAUAAACUCCAAUACAGGUCACUAGAGUGUGCUUUUCUUGGUUACAGUUCACACCACAAAGGUUAUCUAUGUCUUGACAUUCAUUCUAGCAGGGUGUAUAUUUCUCGCCAUGUGAUUUUUAAUGAAGAUUCUUUUCCAUUCAAGAAUUUGAAAUCUUCUCUCUCUCAGUCUAUUUCUUCUUCCUCUUCUUUAUAAGUUCCUCUGUUCAUUCUCUUGCCUCCCCUUUCCCCAUCUCCUCUUAUUUCUUCAUCUAUACCUCAUUCUUUUCCCUCUUCUUCUUCUACCUCUAGUACUUGUUCCCCUCUCGUUGCUCCUACCUCUCUUCCUUCCUCUUCACACUCUGUGUCUCCAUCUAUUCCACCUCCUUCUCCACCUUCUCCGAGUGUGGACCUGCUUGCACCUUGUGUGAAUACAAAUUUACAUACUUCUUCUCGCACUCACAAUAUUCAUCCUAUGGUGACUAGAUCUAAGGUUUGUAUCUAUAAACCUAAGUUGUUGUUGAGUGUCUCCAUAGGUUCUCUCACUAAGCCUACUUCCUUUCUUCAAGCUAUUAAAGAUCCUUCAUGGAAGCAAUCCAUGGAAUUCGAGUUUGCUACCCUUCAACACAACAAGACCUGGCAUUUGGUUCCUUCACCUUCCUCAGGCGAAGUAAUCGGUUGUAAAUGGGUCUAUAAGCUAAAGCUUCAGCCUGAUGGCUAAAUUGAGAGAUACAGCCUGCUUAGUAGCUAAGGGUAUCAUCAAAUUGAAGUAUGGACUACUUCGAAACAUUCAGCCUGAUNNNNNNNNNNNNNNNNNNNNNNNNNNNNNNNNNNNNNNNNNNNNNNNNNNNNNNNNNNNNNNNNNNNNNNNNNNNNNNNNNNNNNNNNNNNNNNNNNNNNAGCUUCAGCCUGAUGGCUAAAUUGAGAGAUACAAGGCCUGCUUAGUAGCUAAGGGUUAUCAUCAAAUUGAAGGUAUUGACUACUUCGAAACAUUCAGCCUGAUUGUCAAGCUUUCUACUAUCUGUAUUGUGCUCAGUCUUACUUUUUCCCAGAAUUGGUGUAUUAGACAGCUGGAUGUUCAUAAUGCCUUCUUACAUGGUGACUUAGCUAAAGACGUUUUCAUGGAACAACUGCCUGGAUUUGUUGAUCCUCUCUAUCCUACUCAUGUCUGCAAGUUGGAUAAGUCUCUCUACUGUCUUAAAUAGUCACCUCGGGCUUGGUAUACUAAGCUGAGUACUUCUCGCUACACUUGGGAUUUGUUACUUCUAAGAAUGACUCUUCCUUAUUUAUUUGUCAUUCGUCUCAUGGGUUACUUCUUGUUCUUGUCUAUGUGGAUGAUAUAAUCGUCAUUGGGAGCCACUCUCCUCAGGUUACUCACCUUAUCCAACAGUUGCAUCAUUAGCUUUCUUUAAAGGAUCUUGGUCCUUUACAUUAUUUUCUGGGCUUGGAGGUUCAUCACACCCCUACUGGUAUUCACCUCAGCCAAGCAAAGUAUAUCACUGAUCUCCUUACCCGGGCGGCUAUGUUGGAUGCCAAGCCAUGUCCCACUCCUAUGUCCUCCAACACAUAUCUCUCUUUUCAUGAUGGAGUGGCUCUUGAAAAUGGUUCAGAUUAUCGAAGUUUUGUUGGUGCCCUUUAGUAUUGUACCAUGACACGCCCAGAUAUAGCUUUUGCAAUAAAUAAAGUGUGUCAAUUCAUGCACCAUCCCUCUAAUGUUCACUGGCAGGCUAUAAAACGUAUUCUCCGGUACUUAAAGGGCACAUCUCAUUUUGGUCUCUUCCUACAGCCUUCCUAUGACUUCAACAUCACUUGCUAUACAAAUGCCGACUGGGCUUCCUGUCCUGAUGACAAGUGUAGCACCAGUGGCUACUGCCUCUUUCUUGCCUCUAAUCUGGUUUCUUGGUCAUCUUCCAAACAAAAAGUGGUCUCCCGCUCCAGCGCCGAAUCAGAGUACCGAGGGGUAGCAAAUGGGGCUGCUGAAAUUGCUUGGACUGAAUCUCUUCUUUGUGAACUUUCCAUUACUCCCCCUCCCCUCAUUCUCUGUGACAAUAUCAGUGCCACGUACUUAGCUGCCAAUCCUAUUUUGCAUGCCCGCACCAAACAUGUGGAAAUCGACUAUCACUUUGUCACGGAACGUGUUCUUCAAUGCUCUCUUUUUGUCCAGUUUACACCUUCUGAUGAUCAACUUGCUGAUUGCAUGACCAAGCCUCUCUCCACCCAACGUUUCAUCACUCUACGCUCCAAGCUCACUGUUCUCACUAGACCAAUGAGCUUGAGGGGGGAUGUUAAGCCUAAAGAUGUAAUUAGUUAGGAUAUUCUUUUCCCUCUAGUCUUGUAGCUCCACGUGUACAGUUGGUUAGGACCUCAUUGUAUAUAAUGCCUGCCCUGUUAUUGUAGAAGACAACAGAGAUAAAUAAUAUUAACAUUUUUCCUCUCAUCUCUCUCUCUGUUUCCCUCUGUUUUCAUCUCCUCUCUCAUCUGAACCAAAUGAUCCAUGUUAACCUUGGCUUGGUUUGAUUUGGCUCUAUCUUAGAGAGCUCAAGGAUCACGUCAACUCUGGUUUCUACUAUUCAGGUCCAUUCCCAUAUGAACUGGUUCAAAUUUGAGAAAAUGGUAACAGACCUUUAGUGAUGUUGGUUUGGAGCCAGUUGCCAAACCCGCCCUGAGCUUUACCACUAAUGUCAAGGGAGAAAGCCAUUUGAACAAAAACAAUAGCUUCAAGGGACUGAAUCGUGGAUGAAAUCUGAUCCACAUUUCUUCUCAUUUUGGAAACAAAUGAGAACUUAACUAAGAAGAUUCUACGGCCUCAUAGUGCUUUUCCUGAUCUAAGGUUGGUUCGUUUCCCAAACUGUGAGAUGCACGUGCCAGACUUCAGAACUCUCACGCUCAGGAGUGUAUCCACGUGGUGGACAUAAGAUGGUGGCUUAAGAUCUGGUGUCGGUGGCUUUACUUUACUAGGAGAGUAGUGUGUCUUCAUCUCAUUCACUGCCGGAGGGUGGCGUAAGCAGUGACGCUAAGGUGGGGCACAGUCAAUAUCAUUUGCAUUUGACCAUUAUAGUUUUCUCCCGGCUUUAAAGUAACCUUAUCGUGAUAAAGGAUUACUAGCACUAGUUCAGAUGAUAGUCAUGUUAAAUUCGGACCAUGUUUGUGUCACAUUAUCAGCAACCAUGUGUUUAUGGUUCAUGCUUUCUGCAACUAAAAUUGAUAUAUAACCAGGUGAACUUCAAUCUAAAUUCUGAAAGUACUCAUGUGAUAGAUGGUGCCCGUCUGCAGAGUCCAUCAAUUGAAAAAUGGAGUGAGUGUAUCUAUAAGAGGGAAGGCUUGGAAAAUGUUCAGUUUUCUGGGAAUUCAACAAGGAUCUAAAAUAGAUUGUUUUCUUUGCUGAUUUCAAUGGUUGAAAUUUGAGAAGAUUGUGUCCACAUAACACAACUAUUACUGGUCCUUCUGUUGCAAUUUAUCCUCUAAAGCUCUAGCAUGUCUUCCAAUUCCCACUUCCCUGUUACUCCAGGAAAGCUAUUUCUGUCAUUGUGAAGAAGAAAAGAGAAUGUACAUAUCGAUGCUUUUAAGUGACUGGAGCAUUUAUAUCAGGUGGUCUGCAGCCAUAUAUGCCACUUUGUGAAGAUUGGAACAGUCAAUCACUAGGCUAUAUAUUAGUGUGGCCCAGCCACUUUAAUCAAGGACAAGUCUUCAUACUUAAAGUCAAAUUCUGCCUUUAGUCUCAUUAUAAAUUUCUGUUUAAAUAUUAAGCAAACAUUUGUUUAAUGCGAUUAAGACAGUACUAACUCAAUACCUGUUCUAUUUUUGGAUGCAAAUGCUUGAUGGUUUCAUCAUUGGAUGGGAUAAAGGUGCAUUCAUGAUUAGGAAUACUAGUAGUUAUAUUUUAAUUCUCUUUUUUCUCAAUGAGACUUGUUGGCACAAUUUUGCUGUUGAGAAACCUACCUCUCCAUGGAAAAUAAGUUGUGAUUGAUAGUACUGGAUAUAUUCAAGAAAUCUAAAUAUAGAUAGCACAAAAUAUUAUCGACAUAAAUAGCAUUAACAGCGUACGUAUGUCUCAGUGCUCAUCAGCUAUAAGCAUGGGGCAAACACUUACUAUGAGCAACUUACGUCAAAAUUCCAGAAUAGGACAUAGAAGUGACAGAUAUAGAACAUUGCAUAUGAGUCACAAGAAAGGAAAUUACGGGUGCAUAGCAGCUCUUAUUUUACAUACUACUACUCAUACUGAUCAAAGUCACUCAGUUGGGAUGGGUGGGAGUAGGAGGUUUGUGGGGUGGCUUGUGCGGAGGAGUUGGCAGCUUCUUUCCAGGACCUGGUUGCUUCUCUGCUGGAGUUGAAGGAGGCUUAAUCUUCCGAGGUGGCUUGUAUGAGUCUUCAGCAUUCUCAGCUGGAGGGUGACCAGGGUUGUGACCAUAAUGUGGUGGCUUCUCUCCCUUAGGUGGUUUGCCAACUGGGGUUGGUGGCUUGUAUGAGUCUUCAGCAUUCUCAGCAGGAGGGUGACCAGGGUUGUGACCAUAAUGUGGUGGCUUCUCUCCCUUAGGUGGUUUGCCAACUGGGGUUGGUGGCUUGUGUUCUGGGAGUGGCUUCUCCCCCUUGGGAGGUUUUUCCAAUGGGGUUGGUUUGUGUUCAGGAGGUGGCUUCUCCACUGGAGGCUUGUGUUCAGGAGGUGGCUUCUCCACCGGAGGCUUGUGUUCAGGUGGUGGCUUCUCCACCGGAGGCUUAUGCUCUGGUGGUGGCUUCUCGAAUGGGGGAUGCUUAGGAUAAUCAGCAAGUGAGGGGGCGGUGAGAACCACCAGGCCAAGCAACACCACUAGCAAAUAUGUAGGAGACAUCUUUGGGUUUGGGCUCAGAUGGUGCAAAACUAGGAGAAUUGGCUAGCCUUUUAUAGCGGAUCGUACCCAAUAAUGAAAUGACACGUGUCAUUAUGACCCAUGUGUAAUGGGGUCGAUUUGGGUCCUACAGUGUUGAAAACUUCGACAUCCACUUUUGGCCUUUUGCUUUCUCUACAGCCGCCUUGCUUUUUCCCUCUUUCCUUUUGUUUUCCUCCUGCCCCAUUCUAUCAACUAAACACAAUUAUGUAGUUGUUUAAUUCUUAAAUGAGAUAUUAUCCGUCAAUCGUAUUAUAUUUUAUCAAGAGAGAACGGAGUGCAAUGUGGCUGUAAUUUUAUCGUUUAGUUUUAUCUCUUGGACCACUGCAUUUUUGUUAAGAGGUGCAAUAAUACACGUCUUUAUCUGCCAUUCAAUAUUUACAGUAAAGAGAGGGCACAAAACUCUUCACUUCGCACCAUAAUUAUUUUGUUUUCUGGACACCCCGGGGCCCUUUGGUUGGUUUGGGGGUCAGAAAGUGAACAUCAUAGGGGGUUUUUCCCUUAUGUGCAUUUGUAUCUGAUGGCUUUAACUCGCCUUGUUACUACAAAGAAACUGUCACAGAUAGGAACUUAUUCCAGGCUGAGUAUCUCCUCAUAGACCCUAUAAAAGAAGACAAGUCAUAAUGAACAUCUAACCUUUGUUCAAUUUGAUUCAAUGCCCCCAUUGUGUCCAUCUCACAAAUCUGAAUUAUUAUAUCCAUUGAAUACAUAAAUUAAUGAAGAAAAUAUGAAACCCAAGAUACAUCUCUGCACAACCUCAACCCUGGUUGCUAUGUUUCCCUUCUAUUCACAUGAUUUGAUGCUAAUUGCCAAACUUGCAACAAGCCCUGAGUUUGACACCUAGUAUCGAUGGGCGAAUUUAAAGUCUCCUCCAAACAUAUAUUCCACAGCUUGAAGCUCACAGAAGAUGUUACAGGCAGGGAAAAACCUUCAGAGUUCGCUACCAAAGAUAAUUAUUAAGGAGAUAUCACAAAGAGAAUUCCAAGGGGUCUGAAUCAAAGACAAAUUGGUCGUUCGUGGGGGUUCUUACUUUCUUUUGGGUAUAACUCACUGAGGGCACUGUCUUUGUUAUUUGCAUUUCACAUUUAGAGUUCUGUUCUGGAAACAUAUAAAAGGAGCAUCAUUUUGUUCUUGGGUAACCCAUAGUCGUGAGUGGGUCCAUUUGCAUGCUACUUAGUUGAAAAGUUGGACCAUUUGCUCCGACGCCUACCUCCCGGAUUCCAUGCUCGGAUAAAACAAGAAUAAAAAAAAUAUUUAUAAUUUACAAAUGGGGGAAAGAAAAAAAUGUCAACAACAAACCAGGAAAAAAGAGUAGUAAAAUUCAUGUCACAUGCUAGUGAGAGAAGGGGUUGUUACACUCACUCGAAGUUCUUUCCAAAAUAUCGCAUGGUAUUUUAUUUUAUGUGUCAGCGCAGUUGUGAAUGGAACGUGCAAAAGUCCAAAUUGGCGUUUUUCCUUUUCCCGUGUAGGAUGGCGACCUUUAAUAAAUAUUUAAAACAAAAAACGAAAAAAAGGAGGGAAAAGGGAUCAGAAAAGAUAAAACAAUGUGUACAAGAGCUCAAUUAGUUUGCAAAUUACUGUUUGGAUUUUGAUAGUAUUUUAUUUGUCCAUCUAUAUUUGAUGGAAAAGAGAAUUUAAGAUAUUUCUGAAACAAAAGCAUUAGUGUAAAACUAAAUUAAGGUAUAAUUAAGUUAGUUCAAUGCAUUAAUUUAAGAAACUUGAUCUAUCCAAAGUACAAAAUUAGAUGAAAUCCAUUUCAAUGGUUAAAAUGAUCAAAAUCAAACUUUUUCUAAGUAUUUUUUAAAAGCAUCAAUAUUAAAAGACAAUUUUAUAUUUAGUCGGAGUUUGGACAAAACCAAAAAGCACACAAAAUCCAAGCGACCAUCUCUAGCUUGGAUAGUCACUUGAUCCCACCUAGAGAUGUGCAUGAGUAAAAGGAUUUGAAAAUGGAAAUUGACUAAAUAUUUAGUUGAUCAAUUAAAUUUGCAAUGUCAUAUGCAAUCCUAAUAGCUAGUCAUCUAAUCAAUUAGGUAGUCAAUCAAGUGUUUGUAAUGACUAUUUUGUACAAAAAACCACAUGUAUAGUUAAAUAUAAUGCAUUUCAUUUAUAAAUCUUCUAAUUCUUGAAUAACGAUCCUAUCAUCCUUUGAAAAUUUUUAUUACACCUUUUUUACUUUUGUUCUAAAACUUACAUAUCACCCUUAAUUGUACCAUGAGAACCUAGCUAUUUUUUUUUUUUUUGUAAUUCAUCAAAGUUAGCUUUUGUAUUCAUUGUUGUAUUAUUUUUAGUAUAACUUAGAAAGCUAGUGUUUUCAAGUGAGUAAAAUUAACUUGUAAAUAUUGUAAAGAUUCAUUGAUAUGUAUCUUAAACUAAGUGUACAAAUUAAAACAUUUGCUAGUAGAUUUUCUCAAAAUUUAGAAUAGAGCUUGAGGCUAUUGAAAUAGGUGGGGUUACACCAAACCACAUCACAUCGUUGUUUGCACCUUUUUUCACUCUCUUUUACUUAGUUUCUCUAUAUUUGUUGUCUAGUAAUAUCCUAUAGGCUUGAUGGGUUAGGGAGCAUCCCUUUGUGAAAAAAUUUCAUUCAAUUCUUAGUUGUAUUACGCAUAUAUAAAAUGCCUCAUUGUUUUAAUGGUAUUCAGUCGUGGCAUCACAGAUAUGGGCAUCUAAAUUUUAAAAGUUUGAAACUUUUGUAAAGCAUGUUGAUAAAAUCCAUGAGAGUUGUGUACUUGGGAAGCAACAUCGAGGUGACUUUAUUUUUUUUUCCUUUUAUAAUGCCACACCUAAGUCCGGUUUCUAAAUGCUAAAGUGAAAGGGUAGGUAUGGACCAUUGAAAUGUGAUCACAACUUUUGGCCUUUUCCUUUCUCUGCAGCCAUGUUGUCUCUUUUUUCUUUUGCAUGAUUUUCUUACCAAAACAGAAUCAUAGACUUGUUUAGUCUCUAAGCUACUAUAUUAUAUCUCGGUGGACUUUUAAGAGUGCAACCGACAUAGAGCACAUGCAAGUGGGCAUAUGGGACAUGAAAUUUCUUCUUACAAAGAUUGCAUGAUUUUUAUAUUAGAGUUGUUCACGUGCAAUGUAUUUAGCUUGUUUUGCAGUUAAAUUAAUUGGAUAAGUAAACAUUGGCAUUUCUAAAUCGACUGUGAAGUGCUUCAUGUACGUGUAAAGUAUUAGAAAUUUCUUUCUUGGCAACUUGUUUUUUCCUUGCCAUCUACUGGUAGGUUUGACUAAAAUUAUAUUCCCUGUCAUGCUAAUUAAUUUUCAUGUGCAUGCUCAAAAGAAGAGUAUGACCUUAGUGCACCAAAAUCACUUUGAUUAAUUUGUGAUAGGUUUUUUUGCAUCAUUUAGAUAAUGUUUAGUUCUAAGAAAAAUUUAUAUAAAAAUGGUUUAUUUAUCUUACAUAUAUAUAUAUAUAUAUAUAUUUUUUUUUUUUUCAUUUUUUUUUCUUCUAUUUUAUUUAUUUAUUUUAUUUUCCUUAUGUUUUCCUCACAUUUUCCGGAACUAAACAUAGUCUUACGAAAUCAACAAUUGCCUUCAACUGAGUAGAUUCUGUUGUUUUAGCAAUGUUAGGCUGCUAACUUGUGGUGGUACGAACCAAAUGACCCAUGUUAAUCUUGGCUUGGUUUGAUUUGGCUCUAUCUCAGAGAGCUAAAGGAUCACGUCAACUCUGGUUUCUACUAUUCAGGUCCAUUCCCAGAUGAACUGGUUCAAAUUUGAGAAAAUGGUAACAGACCUUUAGUGAUGUUGGUUUGGAGCCAGUUGCCAAACCCGCCCUGAGCUUUACCACUAAUGUCAAGGGAGAAAGCCAUUUGAACAAAAACAAUAGCUUCAAGAGACUGAAUCGUGGAUGAAAUCUGAUCCACAUUUCUUCUCAUUUUGGGAAAAAAUGAGAACUUAACUACAAAGAUUCUACUGCCUCAUUCAUAGUGCUUUUCCUGAUCCAAGGUUGGUUCGUUUCCCAAAUUGUGAGGUGCACGUGCCACUCUCACGCUCAGGAGUGUAUCCACGUGGUGGACAUCAGAUGGUGGCUUAAUAUCUGGUGUCGGUGGCUUUACUUUACUAGGAGAGUAGUGUGUCUUCAUCUCAUUCACUGCCGGAGGGUGGCGUAAGCAGUGACGCUAAGGUGGGGCACAGUCAAUAUCAUUUGCAUUUGACCAUUAUAGUUUUCUCCCGGCUUGAAAGUAACCUUAUCGUGAUAAAGGAUUACUAGCACUAGUUCAGAUGACCGUCAUGUUAAUUCGGACCAUGUUUGUGUCACAUUAUCAGCAACCAUGUGUUUAUGGUUCAUGCUAUCUGCAACUAAACUUGAUAUAUAACCAGGUGAACUUCAAUCAAAAUUCUGGAAGUACUCUUGUGAUAGAUGGUGCCUGUCUGCAGAGUCCAUCAAUUGAAAAAUGGAGUGAGUGUAUCUAUAAGAGGGAAGGCUUGGCAAAUGUUCAGUUUUCUGGGAAUUCAACAAGGAUCUAAAAUAGAUUGUUUUCUUUGCCGACUUCAAUGGUUGAAAUUUGAGAAGAUUGUGUCCACAUAUCACAACUAUUACUGGUCCUUCUGUUGCAAUUUAUCCUGUAAGGCUCUAACAUGUCUUCCAAUUCCCACUUCCCUGUUACUCCAGGAAAGCUAUUUCUGUCAUUGUGAAGAAGAAAAGAGAAUGUACAUAUCGAUGCUUUUAAGUGACUGGAGCAUUCAUAUCAGGUGGUCUGCAGCCAUAUAUGCCACUUUGUGAAGGUUGGAACAGUCAAUCACUAGGCUAUAUAUUGGUGUGGCCCAGCCACUUCAAUCAAGGACAAGUCUUCAUACUUAAAGUCAAAUUCUGCCUUUAGUCUCAUUAUAAAUUGCUGUUUAAAUAUUAAGCAAACUUUUGUUUAAUGCGAUUAAGACAGUACUAACUCAAUACUUGUUCUAUUUUUGGAUGCAAAUGCUUGAUGGUUUCAUCAUUGGAUGGGAUAAAGGUGCAUUCAUGAUUAUGAAUACUUGUAGUUAUAUUUUCAUUCUCUUUUUUCUCAAUGAGACUUGUUGGCACAAUGUUGCUGUUCAGAAACCUACCUCUCCAUGGAAAAUAAGUUGCGAUUGAUAGUACUGGAUAUGUUCAAGAAAGCUAAAUAUAGAUAGCACAAAAUAUUAUCGAUAUAAAUAGCAUUAACAGCGUACGUAUGUCUCAAUGCUCAUCAGCUAUAAGCAUGGGACAAACACUUACUAUGAGCAACUUACGUCAAAAUUCCAGAAUAGGACAUAGAAGUGACAGAUCUAUAUAUAUAGAACACUGCAUAUGAGUCACAAGAAAGGAAAUUACGGGUGCAUAGCAGCUCUUAUUUUACAUACUACUACUCAUACUGAUCAAAGUCACUCAGUUGGGAUGGGUGGGAGUAGGAGGUUUGUGGGGUGGCUUGUGCGGAGGAGUUGGCAGCUUCUUUCCAGGACCUGGUUGCUUCUCUGCUGGAGUUGAAGGAGGCUUAAUCUUCCGAGGUGGCUUGUAUGAGUCUUCAGCAUUCUCAGCUGGAGGGUGACCAGGGUUGUGACCAUAAUGUGGUGGCUUCUCUCCCUUAGGUGGUUUGCCAACUGGGGUUGGUGGCUUGUAUGAGUCUUCAGCAUUCUCAGCAGGAGGGUGACCAGGGUUGUGACCAUAAUGUGGUGGCUUCUCUCCCUUAGGUGGUUUGCCAACUGGGGUUGGUGGCUUGUGUUCUGGGAGUGGCUUCUCCCCCUUGGGAGGUUUUUCCAAUGGGGUUGGUUUGUGUUCAGGAGGUGGCUUCUCCACUGGAGGCUUGUGUUCAGGAGGUGGCUUCUCCACCGGUGGCUUGUGUUCAGGAGGUGGCUUCUCCACCGGAGGCUUAUGCUCUGGUGGUGGCUUCUCCACCGGAGGCUUAUGCUCUGGUGGUGGCUUCUUGAAUGGGGGAUGCUGAGGGUAAUCAGCAAGUGAGGGGGCGGUGAGAACCACCAGGCCAAGCAACACCACUAGCAAAUAUGUAGGAGACAUCUUUGGGUUUGGGCUCAGAUGGUGCAAAACUAGGAGAAUUGGCUAGCCUUUUAUAGCGGAUCGUACUCAAUAAUGAAAUGACACGUGUCAUUAUGACCCAUGUGUAAUGGGGUCGAUUUGGGUCCUACAGUGUUGAAAACUUCGACAUCCAGUUUUGGCCUUUUGCUUUCUCUACAGCCGCCUUGCUUUUUCCCUCUUUCCUUUUGUUUUCCUCCUGCCCCAUUCUAUCAACUAAACACAAUUAUGUAGUUGUUUAAUUCUUAAAUGAGAUAUUAUCGGUCAAUCGUAUUAUAUUUUAUCAAGAGAGAACGGAGUGCAAUGCAGCUGUAAUUUUAUCGUUUACUUUUAUCUCUUGGACCACUGCAUUUUUGUUAAGAGGUGCAAUAAUACACGUCUUUAUCUGCCAUUCAAUGUUUACAGUAAAGAGAGGGCACAAAACUCUUCACUGCUCUGCAUGUGUCCCAAAAAUGCGAUUGGACAAAUUAUGAUUUGCAUGCUAAAAAGAGGCAAAUGAGGUUAAUUCGCACCAUAAUUAUUUGGUUUUCUGGACACCAUAAAAAGAUGUUAUACAGGCAGGGAAAAACCUUCAGAGUUAGCUACCAAAGAUAAUUAUCAAGCAGAUAUCACCAAGAGAAUUCCAUAGAGUCUGAAUCAAAGACAGAUUGCUCGCUCGUGGGGGUUCUUACUUUCUUUUGGGUAUAACUCACUGAGGUCACUGUCUUUUUUAUUUGCAUUUCACAGUUAGAGUUCUGCUCUGGAAGGUUUGUUCUGGAAACAUAUAAAAGGAGCAUCAUUUUGUUCUUGGGUAACCCAUAGUCGUGAGUGGGUCCAUUUGCAUGCUACUUAGUUGAAAAGUUGGACAAUUUGCUCCGACGCCUACCUCCUGGAUUCCAUGCUCGGUAAAACAAGAAUAAAAAAAAAUAUAUAAUUUACAAAUGGGGGAAAGAAAAAAUGUCGGAAAAAAUAGUAAAAUUCAUGUCACAUGCUAGUGAGAGAAGGGGUUGUUACACUCACUCGAAGUUCUUUUCAAAAUAUCGAAUGGUAUUUUACUUUAUGUGUCAGCGCAGUUGUGAAUGGAACGUGCAAAAGUCCAAAUUGGCGUUUUUAUUUUUCCCAUGUAGGAUGGUGACCUUUAAUAAAUAUUUAAAACAAAAGACGAAAAAAAAAAGGAGGGAAAAGGGAUCACAAAAGAUAAAAUAAUGUUUACAAAAGCUCAAUUAGUUUGCAAAUUACUGUUUGGAUUUUGAUAGUAUUUUAUUUGUCGUUCUAUAUUUGAUGUAAAAGAGAAUUUAAGAUAUUUCCGAAGCAAAAGCAUUAGUUUGCUCUGUGAUGUCCCACAUCGAAUAGGGGAGAAAGUUUCUGGCGCUAUAUAUGUAGAGGCUCCUCUUAACCAAGUAGAUGCGUUUUAAAACCAUGAGGGCCCCCUUAGGUCCAAAGCGGACAAUAUCUACAUGAUUGGGUGUAAGUCAUUACAAAUGGUAUCAGAGCCGAUCCCCGACCCCGGUGUGGGGGUUUGUUUGGCCCUGUAAGGGGUGUUUGUCUGUUUGACCCCACAAUCCCAUGGGACACAACGAGGACGUUGUGUCUGCAUGGGGGGGCGUUUGUGAUGUCCCACAUCGGAUAGGGGAGAAAGUUCCUAGUGCUAUAUAUGUAGAUGUUUCUCUUAACCAAGUAGAUGCAUUUUAAAAUUGUGAGGGCCUCUUUGGGCCCAAAGCGGACAAUAUCUACAUGGUUGAGUGUAAGUCAUUACAUGCUCCAUGUCAAUUUCAGCAUUUCUCAUAUGUUUCACACAUACACAGAAGAGCAUCGUUUUUUAAAGCAUGCAUUUAUGUUGGAUUAAUUUGGAUUUUGUGGGAACUGGGGCAAGGAUCACAUGGAAGAGAGGUUGACUUUUUUCAGUACUUCAAUGGUUGAAAUAUGUGAAGGCUUGAUUGAUACUAAAGCUUGAAAUUGCGACUCUGUCAUUUGUAAAAAAAUAUGACAGCUUCCAUGCUCUCGUUUGGUUGCAUUGUCCGGUCGAGAGGUGCAAAAAGCAUUCUCUCUCUUCUAAUAGUCUUUUCGUUUAAAUCAAGGGAUUUGCCUUCCCGGUCGAGGUCCAAUAGAGGGUAACGGUCACCUACUAAACAUUAAAUGCUCCAACAACUAGUGAACUGAUCGACCCCAGCUCGACUAGUUGAGGUUACUUUUUGGUUUUCUUGUCUCCCGAGGUUAGAAACCUAUAAAUAGAGAGCUUCACUUCAUUUAUGAGUAAGAGAACACCUAAAUUUAUUUGUUUACCUACUUGUUUUUGCCAUAAAAGCUCUCAUUUCUUUUCUUGGUGUAUUAAAUCUCCAUUUGCAUAUCCUUUAGUGCACCUUUGUGAUUCAUUCUAGCCUUGAGUUGUAUUUAAGCCUUUGUUGAGCUAGGUUGAGAGUUUCAUACUUGUUUAUUGAGUGUUAAAGCCUUCAAGUGAGUUAAAACUUGAAGAGAUUGUGUAAGAGCCCAUUGGAGUCGGAAUCCAAGUGUAAAGGUGAUUAAAAGCUUGGUUGAAGCUUCAAGUUAGUGGAACUCUCACUCGGUUAUGAGCUUGAGAAGAGUGGACAUAGACAAGGCAGUGUCGAACCACUAUAAAAUCUGAGUUUGAUUUCUCUAACCUUAUCUCUUUAUAUUUGCUUCUCUUGUGCUUAAAUUUUUUGUGUUUAAAAAGAAUUUUUAAAAACUCAAUUCACCCCCUUCUUGGGAGUUUUUCUCUUUUAAGAUCAGCUUUUAUUUUCUCAAUUGGUAUCAGAACUAUGCCUCUUGUUUAAGACUUAAUCGUCUAAGAGGAAAUGGCUAAUCCAUCAAGUUCAUCUCACAUUGAAAGUUUUGCAACCAAUAGACUUCUUUUUUUUUUUUUGCGGGAACUGAUUAUCCCUAUUGGAAAACUAAAAUGACUUGGUUUUUACAAUCAAUUGAUUUAGAUGUAUGAGAUGCCAUUGAAGAUGACCUAACUUUUCCUUCAAAACUAGUUGAUGGAGUCAUGGUUCCAAAACCUAAGCAAGAAUGGGAUGAGCGUGAUUGAAGAAAUUUUCAAUUAAAUGCUAAAGUCGUUUAUACUUUGCAAUGCUCUAUGGACAGAAAUGAAUAUAAUAGAAUAUGUCAAUGCAAAUCGGUUAAAGAAAUUUGGAGAUUGCUUGAAAUAACUCAUAAAGGAACAAAUCAAGUUAAAGAGUCAAAAAUCAAUUUACUUGUUCAUAGAUAUGAAUUGUUUUUUAUGAAAGAUAAUGAAACUAUUGUUAAGAUGAUCACUAGGUUCACCAACAUUGUUAAUGGUCUUAAAGCCUUGGGAAAGACCUACAAGGAAUCCGAAAACGUGAUGAAGAUCUUGAGGUCACUUCCAUCAAAGUGGCAUACCAAGGUCACCGCAAUUUAAGAAGCAAAAGACUUGAUCAAGCUACCUUUGGAGGAGUUCAUAGGGUCAUUGAUGACAUAUGAAAUCAAUUUGGCAAAGAAGUAACAAAAAGGUGAAGACAAAAAGAAGAAGAACAUAACUCUCAAAGCUACAACUAAGGAAGAAGAAGUUGAAGAAGAAAAACAAAUUGAAGAAGAUGAAGAUUUAGCCCUCAUCACAAGAAAGUUCAACAAAUUCAUGAGGGGUGAAAGGUUUAGAAGAAGAAGGUUCACUUCUAGAAGAGACUUUUCUAAAAAGGAAUCUUCAUCUAAUGGUGACAAAAAGAGAUGGGAAGAGAAAAGAGACUUGGUGUGUUUCAAGUGCAAGAAACCGGGACACAUUAAAUAUGAUUGUCCUCUCUACAAAAGUGAAGUCAAGAGGAAAAAGAAUAAGGCAAUGAUGGCCACUUAGAGUGAAAGUGAAGAUGAAUCAUCCGAAGAAGAAAAUGAGAAAGAAGUGGCAAACAUGUGUUUCAUGGCAAUAGAUGAACUUGAUGAGGUAAAAUCUAACCUUAGUGAUUAAGAUAUACAUGAUGCAUUUGAAGAAUUGUAUGAGGAUUUUUAAAAACUUAGUUUGAAAAAUAUUUCUCUUAAAAAGAAAGUUCAACAACUUGACAAAGAACUUAGAGAAGUAAAAGAAAAAUUUUCAAAUGUUAAAGUUUCUAAAACUCAUCUUGAAAAAGAAAAUGAGAUUCUAAGAAAGAAAAAUGAAUAGUUGAACUCCUCUCUUUCAAUCUUUUCUUCUAGACAAAAAUCUUUUGAAAUGAUUCUAACUAGCUAAAAAUGUGUUUUUGACAAACAAGGGUUAAGAUUUAAAUCUUCAAAAAAUCAAAAGUAUUUUAAAAACUAUUUUGUAAAGGAAUCCACAAGUGCAAGUCCUUCCACUACUUGCAACUUUUGUGGAAGAGAAUGGCACAUUAGUAGUACGCCCUUUAAGAAAUGGUUCUCAAAAGAAUUUAAAUGCAAAAACUAAAAAAGAUUUGGAUUGAGAAAUCCAAGGUCACUAACCCUCAAGGACCCAAAAAGAUAUAGGUACCUAAAUCAACUUGAGUUUUAUGUUGUAAGGUUCAAAGAAUGAUAAGUGGUUCUUAGAUAAUGGUUGCUCAAGACACAUGACCGGAGAUGAAUCCAAGUUUGCUUUUCUUAAAAAGAAAAAUGGAGGAUAUGUUACCUUUGGAGACAAUGCAAAAGAAAGGAUGAUUGGUCAAGGCAACAUUGGUAAUGGCACAUCCUCUCUCAUUGAAAGUGUUUUAUUAGUAGAUGGUUUCAAACAUAACCUUUUAAGCAUUAGUCAAUUUUGCGACAAAGGUUUUUAAGUGAUUUUUUAAGCAUCUCAUUGCAUCAUCAAGGAUAUUCAAAAUGAUAAAACCAUUUUCAUGGGCCAUAGAUGUGAUAAUGUUUAUGCUAUAAAUAUUUCAAAAUAUGAUGGCCAUGAUAGAUGUUUUUCAAGCAUGCAUGAUCAAAGUUGGUUGUGCCAUAGGAGAUUGAGACAUGCUAACAUAGACCUCAUUUCCCAACUCAACAAAGAUGAACUUGUUAGAGGCCUUCCCAAAAUAAUUUUUUAAAAAGAUAAAGUUUGUGAAGCUUGUCAAGUGGGAAAGUAAAUCAAAAACUCUUUUAAAAACAAAAACUUCAUUUCCACAUCUAGGCCACUUGAGUUGUUGCAUAUGGAUUUAUUUGGUCCCUCUAGGACACCAAGUCUUAGAGGAAAUUCUUAUGCAUAUGCUAUUGUGGACGACUUCUCUAGAUACACAUGAGUCUUGUUUUUUAGUCAAAAGAAUAAAGUUUUUUAUGAGUUUUCAAAGUUUUGCAAUAAGAUUCAAAAUGAAAAAGGUUUUUCAAUUACUUAUAUAAGAAGUGAUCAUGGGAGAGAAUUCGAAAAUAUUGAUUUUGAAGAGUAUUGCAAUGAGCAUGGAAUUGACCACAAUUUUUUGGCUCUUAGAACUCCUCAACAAAAUGGGGUAGUUGAAAGGAAAAAUAGAACUCUUCAAAAAAUGACAAGAACCAUACUAAAUGAAAACAACUUACCAAAAUAUUUUUAGGCCAAAACGGUUAACACUUCUUGUUAUGUUUUAAAUAGAGUAUUAUUGAGGCUCAUACUUAAGAAAACUCCCUAUGAGCUUUGGAAAAACAAAAAACCCAACAUUAGUUAUUCCAAAGUCUUUGGAUGCAAUAUUUUAUAAUAAACACCAAAGACAAUCUUGGAAAAUUUGAUGCAAAAUUGGAUGUUGGAAUUUUCCUUGGUUACUCAACUUCAAGUAAAGCUUUUCGAGUUUUAACAAAAGAACCAUGGUUGUAGAGGAGUCCAUCCAUGUUAUUUUUUAUGAAUCUCCAAGAAAGAGAGAGGAUUGAUGAUGAUUUAGGUUUGAAGACCUCUAUAGGAAGAUUGCAAAUCGAAGAUAGAAGACAACAAGAAGAAAAUGGAGAGAAUCCAAAGAAAGAAGGAUCACCAUUGGCACUACCCCCUCAUCAACAAGCGCAAGGUGAAUCAAGUCAAGAGCUUCCUAAAGAAUGGAAGUUUGUCAUCAAUCACCCACAAGAUCAAAUUAUAGGCAAUCCAUCUAGUGGGGUAAGAACUAGAUCCUCUCUUAGAAAUAUUUGCAAUAAUCUAGCUUUUAUCUCUCAAAUUGAGCCUAAAAAUAUAAAUGAUGUUUUAGAUGAUGAAAAUUGGAUAAUUGCAAUGCAAGAAGAGUUAAAUCCAUUUGAAAGAAGUGGAGUAUGGGAAUUAGUACCAAGACCUUCAAAUCAAAGUGUUAUUGGAACUAGAUGGAUCUUUAGAAAUAAAAUGGAUGAAAAUAGCAUAAUUGUUAGAAAUAAAGCAAGAUUGGUAGCCCAAGGUUUUAAUCAAGAAGAAAUGAUAGAUUAUGAAGAAACCUUUGCCCCCGUAGCUAGGUUGGAAGCCAUUAGGAUGCUACUUGCCUUUGCAUGUUUUAAAGACUUUGUUUUAUAUCAAAUGGAUGUGAAAAGUGCUUUUUUAAAUGGUUUUAUAAAUGAAGAAGUAUAUGUUGAACAACCACCCGGUUUUCAAAGUUUCAACUUUCCUAACCAUGUUUUUAAACUUAAAAAGACACUUUAUGGUUUGAAACAAGCACCUAGAUCAUGGUAUGAAAAAUUGAGUAAAUUUCUUUUGAAAAAAAUGUUUUAAAAUGGGAAAAAUUGACACAACUCUUUUUAUAAAAACCAAAGAAAAUGAUAUGCUCUUAGUUCAAAUAUAUAUUGAUGAUAUCAUUUUUGGUGCUACUAAUGUCUCUCUUUAUGAAGAAUUUUCUAAGUGCAUGCAUAGUGAGUUUGAAAUGAGCAUGAUAGGAGAACUCAACUUCUUCCUUGGACUUCAAAUCAAGCAACUAAAGGAAUGAACCUUCAUCAAUCAAGCAAAGUAUAUAAGAGAUCUUCUCAAAAGGUUCAACAUGGAAGAAGCCAAAACAAUGAAGACUCUAAUGAGCUCAUCCAUUAAGCUUGAUAAGGAUGAGAAAGGUAAAUCCAUUGACUCUAUUAUGUAUAGAGGCAUGAUAGGUUCUUUGCUCUAUUUGACCACUAGUAGACCUUACAUUAUGUAUAGUGUGUGUUUGUGUACUAGAUUUCAAUCUUGUCUUAAAAAAUCUCACUUAAGUGUCGUGAAAAGAAUCCUCAAAUAUUUGAAAGGGACAAUGGACAUAGGCUUAUGGUAUCCUAAGAGUGAUAACUUUGAAUUAAUUGGUUUUUUGGAUGCUGAUUUUGUCAGUUGUAGGGUUGAAAAAUAAAACACUAGUGGCACUUUUCAUUUCUUAAGACACUUACUUGUCUCAUGGCAUAAUAAGAAGCAAAAUUUGGUAGCUUUGUCAACAGCAGAAGCUAAAUACAUAGCAACUGGUUUAUGUUGUGCACAAAUCCUUUGGAUGAAAUAAACACUUAGUGAUUUUGAUUUAUCUUUUGAGCAUAUUCCUAUUAAAUGUGAUAAUAGUAGUGCCAUAAGUAUAUCAAAAAAUCUCGUGCAACACUCUAGGACUAAGCAUAUAGAGAUUAGACAUAAUUUUCUUAGAUAUCAUACACAAAAGGAUGAUAUAACACUUGAAUUUGUAAGCAUAAAAGACCAACUUGCCGAUAUCUUUACAAAACCUCUAAGAACAUUUUGUUGAUAUUAGAGGACAAUUAGGAGUGAUUUCUUUAUGAUCUAAUGUGAUGAAUUCUUGAUGAAUAUACUUUUUGAUUGCAUGAAUUUCAUGUCAUAUAUGCAUCAUAUAGAAAUAUACUUAGAUAAUGGUCAAAUUUCGACCAAAAAUCAAAAUUCCCAUGGCAUUAGGCAUAAAAAUUUUGGAAUUUCAACUGAAAAUGGUAGGAGGAGGAUCACAAAAUGAGAAAGUAUGCAAAAAUUGAAAAAUCAAAACGUUGACCAAGCGGUCAAUCGGACUAGACCGAUCGACUAGUUUGUCGAGAUUUAGGAUUUUUAAGAGACUCCAACGCUUCAAUUUUUGCACCGUUCUCCUCUAUUUCUUCACGGUUUCUCUGAUUUUGUCUUUUAGAGACUAAUUUGAGUGCGUUUUGGAUCAAUUGAAGCAUUUUGGAUUGGAUUUUAGGAAGAUUGAAAGUUAAGGUUUCGGAUUUGGGUCGCCUUCUCUUCCUCUCGCGUGUCACAAUCAGCUUUAGCAUUGUUCUCUUUCCAUUUUCACACACCUAGGGUUUCAGUUGUGAGCAUCUCUCUCUCUUUACCAACCACUACUCCCUUGCUUCUUCCAUAUGGCUCCUAGGCGAGAGUCCGCUACUUCUAGGGCACAAGGCAAGCACCCAACUGAGUCGUCUCAGUCAAAGGCACGUCGAAAAGUGAGAUUUGACAUUGCCUUGUUCAGUUCCAUGGAGGACUACCAACUAUACAAGCAACACUUUGCUUAGAGACGAGUAGUUCCCAAGAGAAAUAUUAAUUUUCCUCAACUUCAGCAUUUCGAAUUUAAGGGUCUAUUUACUAGGAUGGUUGGUUGUCUAUUGUCACAAUUUCGGAGCCGGUUUUCCUGACCUUAGUGCGAGUUUUUUACUCGAGGGCGACUUAUGGCAUGGGUGGCAUGAUCAUUUCUACUGUUGGAGGAGUUGAGAUCUGUCUGGACCCAGAGAGCAUCUGCCAUAUUUUCGAUAUUGCUCUGGUUGGACUCAAAGUAUACAAGUCCAAAAUGUGGCCCAUUGUGCCAGGAUUUGAGCUUAGAGAGGUCAUUCAGAGGAUUUGUGAACUUCCAGACGCCCAGGAGAUGGGCAAACCAUUGCCACACAGUUUGACGGUCAUCAACAGGGUGCUACACCAUAUAUUGUGCUCUAUCUUUCUACCACGAAGUGGACAUUGAGAUGAGGUCUCUUAUUAUGAGGCAUUCCUUAUUGACUCCAUUCUAACGGAGAGACGAAUUCAUCUACUAUGUCAUCAUUCACUAAGCCUCCUCACAGUGACAUACCACCUCAUCAGGCACCUCUUGCUCCUGACCAUGCUCCAUUGAUGGAUUUAUUUACUCAUAUUAGCUCUCUAGGCACUCGCAUGAAGGAGUUUGUUGUAGUUAGUGAUACAUGGUUCUACUCCAUAGAGGAUCGCAUGGAUCAGUAUCAGACUGGCUUCACGUCACAGUUUGAGUAUCUCCAAUAGAGGAUUGAGCAUAUUGAGGAUCACUUGAGCAUGAGAAGAUGAUGGCUUUUCUAUGCUCUGUGUUUCCACCUCCACCUCGUCAACCUUGAUUUCUUAGAGACCCAUUGUUUUCAUUUUGUAAUGUUGCCAAAAGGGGGAGAUAUUUAGGAUCUAGGACUCUAUAGGAGACUUACAUGCAUAUCAUUUUCAUAUCAUUGUUUGGAUCGUACAUAUUGGAUAGUGAUACUUUUUACUUAUAUAUGAUAUGCCUAUAUGUUUCAUGUCUUACAUUGUUUCUUAUUGCAAAUUAUCUCUAACAUGUCUUGAUUAUCUUUUUUUUAACUUCAUAAAUUUUGAUUGUUAACCCAUGAUUGGUUUGAGGGGAAGAUUCUUCUUCUCCUAGAUAACCAAGGUUUGUCAUCAUAAAAAAAUUGGAGAUUGUUAGCCCAAGGGUUCUCCUAAUCAUGUUUUGAUGAUAACAAACCAUGCUUAAGUUACUAAUUGGUUUGAAUUAUAAAGAAUUUCAAGUGUUAAUUUGAAAAUUCAUCAAAGAACCUAAUGGAUGCAAGAUCAAGAUUUUUGGAAGACCUUUAAUCAUAAGAAACAUAUGUAAGAUGAAUGCAUGGGUGCACUUAAGAUUUGCAUAUCAUUUCAUGCAUAUUUGGAAAACACGGUUUAUGCUUUAAAGUUACAUUUCCAUCAAAAUUUGAGAUCCAUCAAAUGAACCUUAGGAAAAAUGUUUUAAAAUUGGCAUAUAAUUUUACCUAAAGACCUUGCCUAAGUGUUAGAAGCAAAAGGACAAAAAAAAUAUAGGUUUUCUGGUCAAAAAUGGUGAACCAGUCAAGGCAUUGUCUAAAUCAGCUCAAUCGGCCAAGGUACCGGUCGAUCGGUUUCCCUUUCCCUGUCGAGAUCUAGUCAAGAGGUACAAAAAUCACAAUCUCUGUCUCUUUCUCUCUUUGUCUAUCUUCCAGUAGUCUUUCCUUCCCGGUCGAGGGAUUUGCCUUCCCGAUUGAGGUCCGAUUGAGAGUAAUAGUCACUUGCCAAAUAUUAAAUGCUCCAACAGUUAGUGAACUGGUCGACCCCCACCUUGCCCAGUUGAGGUUACUUUUUGGUUUUCUUGGCUCCCGAUGUUAGAAACCUAUAAAUAGAGAGUUCCACUUCAUUUAUGAGCAAGAGAACACUUGCAUUUAUUUGUUUACCUACUUGUUCUUGCCUUAAAAGCUCUCAUUUCUUUUCUUGGUGCAUUAAAUCUCCAUUUUGAUAUCCUUUAGUGCACCUUUGUGAUUCAUCUUAGCCUUGAGUUGUAUUUGAGCCCUUUUUUUAGCUAGGUUGAGAGUUUCAUACUUGUUAAUUGAGUGUUAAAGCCUUCAAGUGAGUUGAAACUUGUAGAGAUUAUGUGAGAGUCGAUUGGAGCCGAAAUCCAAGUGUAAAGGUGAUUAGAAGCUUGGUUGAAGCUUCAAGUUAGUGGAAUCCUCACUCAAUUAGGAGCUUGAGGAGAGUGGACGUAGCCAAGGAAGUGUCGAACCACUAUAAAAUUUGAGUUUGAUUUCUCUAACAUUGUCUCUUUAUAUUUGUUUAUCUUGUGCUUAAAUUUAUUGUGUUUAAAAAGAAUUUUUAAAUACCCAAUUCACCCCCCUCUUGGGUGUUUUUCUCUUUUAAAAUUAGCCUUUAUUUUCUCACAAACUAUUGUAGUAUAGUGGUUUUUAGGUGUCAUCCAUUAGGAUGAAUUGUUCUCGGUAAUUAAGGCGUGAAUGAGAGGAGAAUUAAUGAUUGUGAUUAAGUAAAAUUGAUUUGAAAAUUCAUGGUGAAAAAUCAAUUUAACAAUGGUUUCUAAUUGAGAAAAACAAUGAAAUGUGAAAUAAAAUAAAAUUAAUAGGAAAUGAAAUUCUCGAAGUUAGAAUUUUCUAAAAAACAAAUUCCAUGGUGAAUGGAUGUUGAGAUCUAAUUUUCAUCAAGUUAGAUUGAAAACCGAAAUUUUCAUAUAAACUGAUUUUUUAUUUAGUUUUAGGUCUAGAUUUAAUUUCCCUUAAAAUUAGGUUAUUUAAUCCAAGAAAUCAAUUCAAAUCAUAUAUUCAAUUCAUCUUAAAUUAUCUUCCAAUUAUUCACACAAUGCAACUAUUCAAUCUCAUCAAAUCUAGCUUUUAAGAAUUUAAUGAAUCUACCUAGUUUGCAUUGUAAUAGUCAUCCAUGACAAUUUGAAGAGAAAAAUAAUUCAAUUAAUCAAUCACUUGGAUCAAAUUACCUUUGCAAUUAAAGUUCAUUUCUCUAAUUCACCACAGAUUUUGUCUCUAGAUCCUCCUUUCUCAAAGAAAAAUGAGAUUUAGCCACACAUGAUUGGAGAUUUGGUCUCAUAAGGCAUGUUUAGCUAGUGAUAAAAUGAGAGAAAAUAAAGAAAAAUAGAGAAUUCGAUUAAGAAAGAAAAUCUAAAAAAUUCUACAAUUAGAAAUGUCCAAAAAGCUUUUUCAUGAGAAAAUCAAGUUUCUAUUUAUAGGCCAAGGUCAAGUGGACACUUGACAUCAUCUAAGAGGUCUUCCGGAAGCUUCUUCAUCAAGAAAUCUGGAGUUUAAUAAUAAAAUGGUCAUUUCACAAGAGCUCAAACAAUUUCGCAUGAUUAUGUGAAAUAAAAAAUGCAACAACAGCAAUUUACAUCUUCUUGGAGCAUUUCGCAUGACUGUGUGAAAUUUUCACAUGAUCAUGUGGAAUCGACUUGACAACUCUCAUUUAGCCUACAACAUAAUUCCACCUUUUGGUCCAUUUUUCAUAGUCAUGCGAAAUGGAAAUAUUUGAUUUUUAAGUUUUCUUUUGUCAUUUCUUUCAUUUCCUUCUCUUGAUUCCACUUCAACUACCUCCGAAUCCUGGUCCAAACCAAUUGCAUUACUUCUUUCAUUAUGCAUUUGGAUCAUCAUCAACAUUAUUUGUUCUCUUCAAUUUGAUUCAUCUCUUUUGUCACCAAUUUAUCAAAAUCAUACCUUGAAAUGACUCCAAAACUUCAUAAAACUUGUUAGUAACUCUUGCAAGGGCAACAACAUAUUAAUUAAGUGUUUUAGGCAUAGUUACUACUCAAAAGAUGCGAAACUCAUGAUAAUUAUUAUAUAAAAUAUGCUCUUUUUGAGUAGUAAUCAACUUUCUUGCAUAAGCAGACCUUUUAGGGUGGAGUACUAAAGACCAAUAUGCUUGUCCUUGUUGUAAUAAAGAAACUUGCUCUUAUUGAUUGCACCAUGGGAGAAAAUUUUGCUACAUGAGUUAUCAUCAAUUUCUUCCCACCAAUCAUAGAUUUAGACGUGACAAGAGGCCUCUUAAUGGCAAGGAGGAACUGACACUCACACUUAUACAAUUAUCGGGCAUUGAUGUGUUGCAACAAUUAGAAUAACUUACACCAAUUAUGUUGGGGAAGUCACAAAAGGCAAACAUGAAAACUAAAAGGAAAAAAGAAAAAUGUUACAUAUCACCACAACUGGAAAGAAAAAAGUAUUUACUUUCAUUUGCCAUAUUGGAAAGCACUUAUUUUACAUCAUAAUAAUUUAGACAUAAUGCAUAUUGAGAAAAAUGUGUGACAAUAUAAUUGAGACAUUGUUCAGUAUUGACGAAGAAACAAGGACAACCUAAAUAGUCAUCUCGAUUUACAAGCUCUAACUAUUAGAAAUGAGAUUCACCCAAUAGAAAGCAGGACCAAAUUUAUUUUGCUUGCAACAUGCUACUCACUCACCCCAAAUGAGAUUAAGGAAUUUUGCAAGUUUUUGAAAUCAAUAAAGGUCCCCAAUGGCUAUUCUUUCAAUAUCUCUCGUUAUGUGCAACUCAAUGAAAGGAAGAUAUAUGAGCUCAAAUUGUAUGAUUGUCAUGUCCUAAUGCAACAACUUCUCUCACUUGUAGUUCGUGGAGUUCUACAUAAGAAUGUUUGUGGAGUUAUCAUAGAAUUGCGUAAUUUUUUCAAGCAAUUGUGCUCAAAGGUGUUAGAAACAAAUCACUUACACCAACUUGAGAACAAUAUUAUUGUCAUACUAUGUAAAAUGGAGCAAAUAUUUCUUCCAUCAUUCUUUGAUAUUAUGGUGCAUUUACUUGUGCAUCUAGUAAGGCAAAGGUUGCAAGACUUGUGCAAUAUUGUUGGAUGUACCUAAUUGAACGAUAUUGUUAUAAUUUCAUAUGAAUCAUUUAAUUUUAUUUUAUAUUAUGUUCAGUUCAUUAACAUGUACAUUGGUCUACAUAUGGAUGAUGAUAGGUACCUAAGCACUUUAAAGUCAUAUGUGCGUAAUAGAACUUUUCUAGAAGGUUCUAUUGUAGAAAGGUACCUUGCAAAAGAAUGUACAACAUUUUAUUCUAGGUACUUGAAUGAUGUGGAAAUAAAGUAUAAUCACAAUGAUAGAAACUUUGUUGGUUUCAACACUAGAGGAGAUGAAAGGGGUUAUCUUUAAACAUAUUGGACAUGCAUUGGGAAAGCCCAUAUUUCAUUAACUUAGUUCAAAAGAGUGGUCACAAGCACAUUUAUAUGUGUUGACAAAUUGCGAAGAUGUCAUACCAUUCAUUGAGUAAAAAAUUUAUUUGAAUUUUAAUUAAAGCUCUAGUUUAUAUCCUUAAUCAAUGUUUUUUAAAUUCACAAGGAGCACAAGCAAACCAUCAAGGCUAGACCACAUAUACGUGUUUGAGACGUAGAUUUAAUUCAUAACAAGGAAUUUAUCAAGUGGUUUGAAAGACAUGUAAGUAUAUUCCUUAUUAUAAGGGAUUUAUUUCACAUUAUGUUUAUAUUGAAUCCAAACCUAUUAUUGAAUUGUAGGUUGAACAAUUACAUAAUGAAGGUCAUAUAUCUGAACACCUUCUCACAUUAUCAUGUGUUCCAAAUUCAUUAGUUACAUGCUUCAAAUGAUAUAUUGUCAAUGGAUUUAGAUCCCACAUUAAAGAACGUGAUAAAAAAGUUUUUAAAAAAAGACUCAGAAUAAUGGAAUUGUUGUAGUUGCAAAAACGUCAAGCUUUACAAGUGCAUGUGAUAUGAGUCCAAUUAUUAGUGAUGCUCUCUACUAUGGUGUUCUAACUAAAGUUGUUGAGUUACAUUAUCUUGGUGAAAAUAAGGUUGUUUUAUUCGAGUUUGAUUGGUGGGAUGUUACAAAUAUUGGAAAAUUGAUAAAAGAUGAUGAGUACAAUUACACAUUUGUUAACUUUGCAUGAAUUCUAACCACGAACGAACGAUUUGUACUUGCAUCUCCAGCAAAGUAAGUGUUCUAUGUGAAGAAUGCGAAUGAAUCAGAUUGGCAUACUAUCAUGGAGAUGCAACCUCAAGACCUCUAUAAGAUGAACGGGAUAGGAUCCAAUGGUGAUUUUGAACCAUUUCAACAAAGUGAACUACAUGAUCACUAAUAUAUCUCAGAUUUAGUUGAUGAAGAUAUAAUCAAGUGGAACAAAAGUGAUGUUUUAGGACUAAUCAUCCUAAAAAAUAUUGUAGUUUCUUAAAAAAAAAAUGAAAAUGAAGAAGAUAAUUGAACCUUUGUCAUACUUUAAAAAGCAACUAUGCAUUGUUCAUUUUGUAUGUUUUGGUUUUCUUCAUUUAAUUUCCUGAUUUUUGUGAUUCAAUGUCAUAUUAUUGAUCUUGAAAUAUUUUUCUAAUUUUUCAUUCUACGAUGGUUUCAACAAGGAUGACAUCAAGUCAAAAAAGGAAAUGUGGUCCCACACACAAUAUUGCAUUACAGGGAUUAAGGUCAGGGAAGAAGGUAAAAGUUGCAUUUAAUGAGUACAAUCAAUUGGUUAAACAGAAAAAUGGAAAACACUUAUCGAGCUACAUAGGGACACUUGUAUCUAACCAACACAAUGUACCUCUCCAAGCUAGUGAUUGGAAAAAUGUUCCAAAUGAUGCAAAAGAGAAAGUAUGGCCUUUGUUUUGGUAUGUUGUAUUUCUCACUAUAUGAUGUCAUUUCACUGUUAUUCUAUUUUGUGACUAACGUUUGAAUCAUAUGUAAGAAAAAUUUGAAGUAGAUAAAGACUGAAAAGAUUACAUGUUGGGUAUAGCCUCAAAUAAAUAUAGAAGCUAUAAAAAUAUGAUGAAUGCAAAAUACUAUGACCCUUGGCAUAAGGAUGCAUGAGGAGAGGUUAAUACAUAAAUCACCAUUUGUCUCUGAUGUUGAUUGGAAGUGGCUUGUCUCUGAUGCAUAAACCAAAUCCCCCACUGAAUGUUUGAUAUUUGAUAGCAGGAAAAACACACCCGCAGCUAUACACCUCCAUCAUUCAGAUAAUUAUAGUGGGGGAGAUGAUUCAUGGUUGCCCUUAUACCCUUUAUUUGCACCAUCUAUUGAGAUUCUUUAUCAUGGCCAGGUUUUACUGCAGCAAUAAGAUAUGGUGGCAACAAUUUUAUCUAUAGGUGCGGUUCCAGACCGCCUCCAUAGGUGCGGUUCCUGACUGCCUCCAUAGGUGCCUCUUCUUGUAAUGUUUGUUCUGGGAAUUACACUUGAAAGCCUUAUCGUGAUAAGGGAUUACAAACACUAGUUCAGAGGACAGCCAUGUUAAACUUCCACUAUGUUUGUGUCACAUUAUCAGCAGCCUAGUGUUUAUUGGUCAUGCUAUCUGCAACUAAUAUAACCCGGUGAACUUCAAUCUAAAUUCUGAAAGUACUCAUGUGACAGAUGGUGCCUUUCAGCAGAUAUCAUCAAUUUAAAAGUAGUGUGUGUGCCUAUAGGUGGGAAGGCCUUGGCAAAUGUUCAGUAUUCCGGUAAUUCAAGAAGGAUAUAUCUAAAAUAGAUUUUCUUCUUGCCCAUUUCAAUAGUUAAAAUUUGAGAAGAUUGUGUCCACAUCACACAAAUAUUAUUGGUCCUUCUGUUGCAAUUUACCUCUGAACAUGUCUUCCAAUUCCCACGGUCCUGUUACUCCAGGAAAACUAUUUCGGUCAUAUUGAAAAAAAAAAUAUUAAAGAAGGUACACAUGCUUUUAAGUGGACUGGGGCAUUCAUAUCAGGUGGUCUGUAUCCACAUAUGCCACUUCGUGAAAGGUGGAACAGCCUAAUCACUAGGCUAUUUAGUGUGGCCCAGCCACGUUAAUCAAGCACAAGUCUUCAUACUUAAAGUCAAAUGGUGUCUUUAGUCUCAUUACACAUCGCUAUUUGAAGAUUAACUCAUCACUAGUGUAAUGCGAUUAAGACAGUCCUAACUCAAUAUUUGUUCUAGUUUUGGAUGCAAAUGCUUGCUGGUUUCAUCAUUGGAUGGGAUAAAGGUGCAAUCAGGACUAUGAAUACGUGCAGUAAUACUUCAUUCUCUUUUUUCUCAAUGAGACUUCUUGGCACAAUUUUGCUGCUCAGCAACCUACCUUUCCAUGGAAAAUCAGUUGUGACUGAUAGUAAUGGAUAUAUUCUAGAAAGCUAAACAUAGAUAGCAUUCAAUAUUAUCGAUAUAACAUUAACAGCGUAUGUCUCAAUGCUCAUCAGCUACAAGCAAUGGACAAACACUUUGAGUAACUCACAGCAGUCAAAAUUCCUAAACAGGACAGACGUGACAGAUCUAUAUAUAGAACACUGCAUAUGAGUCACAGGAAAAGAUAAUACGGGUACAUAGAAGCUCUUAUUUUACAUAUUACUCAUACUGAUCAAAGUCGCUCAGUUGGGAUGGAUGGGAGAAGGAGGUUUGAGGGGUGGCUUGUGCGGGGAAGUUGGCAGCUUCUUUCCGGGAGCUGGUUGCUUCUUUGCUGGAGUUGAAGGAGGCUUAAUCUUCCGAGGUGGCUUGUAUGAGUCUUCAGCAUUCUCAGCAGGAGGGUGACCAGGGUUGUGACCAUAAUGUGGUGGCUUCUCUCCCUUAGGUGGUUUGCCAACUGGGGUUGGUGGCUUGUUUUCUGGGAGUGGCUUCUCUCCCUUGGGUGGUUUGCCAACUGGGGUUGGUGGCUUGUGUUCUGGGAGUGGCUUCUCCCCCUUGGGAGGUUUUUCGAAUGGGGUGGGUUUGUGUCCUGGUGGUGGCUUCUCUCCCUUGGGAGGUUUACCAAUUGGGGUCGGUGGCUUGUGUUCUGGGAGGGGCUUCUCUCCCUGGGGAGGUUUAGUGGGUGGCUUGUGUUCUGGAGGUGGCUUCUCCACCGGAGGCUUAUGCUCUGGUGGUGGCUUCUCGAAGGGGGGAUGCUCAGGGUAAUCACCAAGUGAGGGGGUGGUGAGAACCACCAUGCCAAGCAACAACACUAGCAAGUAUGUAGUAGACAUCUUUGGGUUUGGACUCAGACAGUGCAAAACUACGAGAAAUCGCUAGCCCUUUAUAGCGGCUCGGACCUAAUACUGACAUAAUAUAAAAUAAAUAUUAUAUUUUAUCAAGAGAGAACAGAGUGUAAUUUUAUCAUUAAUACCGAUCGAGGCCAAAGAAAGAAGACCCAUAAUCCAUUUCCCACAAGCAUACACAAUGCAGCUGUAAUUUUAUCAUUUACUUUUAUCCCUUGGACCACUGCAUUUUUGUUGAGAGACACAAUAACACAUUUUUAUCUGUCAUUCAACAUUUACAGUAAAGAGAGGGCACAAAACGCAAUUAGAUAAAUUAUGUUUUGCCUGCUAAAAAGAGGCAAAUAACUUUAUUUGCAACAUAAUUAUUUUGGUUUCUAGUGACCCCGGGGCCUUUCGGUUGGUUUGGGAUCGGAAAAUGAACAUCAUAGGGGGGGUUGUGCCCUUAUGGGCAUAUAUAUCUGAUAGCUUCAACUGGCCUUGUUCCUAGAAAGAAAUUGCCAAAGAUAUAAACUUAUUCCAGGCUGAAAGUAGAUGAGAGUCAUAAUGAACAUCAACCUUUGUUCAGUUUGAUUCAAUGCCCCCAUAGUGUUCAUUUCACAGAUCUGAAUGAUUAUAUCCGUUGAAUACAUAAAUUAAUGAAGACAAAUAUGAAACCCAAGAUACAUCUCUGCAUAACAACCCCAACCCUGGUUGCUAUGUUUCCCUUCUUCUAUUCACAUGAGGAUACUGGUUAUAAUUGUCAAACUUGCAACAAGCCCUUUGACACCUAACGUCAAUGGACGAAUUAAAAGUCUCCUUCAAACGUCUAUUUCACAGCAUGAAGCUUAUAAAGGAUGCUGACAACCUUCAGAGUUAGCGACAAAAGAUAAUUAUCAAGGAGAGAUAGUUCCAUGAGAAUUCCAAGGAGUCUGAAUCAAAGACAAAUUGCUCACUCAAGGGUUCUUAUUUUCUUUUAGGUACAAAUCUCUUGAGUGUUGUUAAAGAAACACGUCACUGUCAUUUUGAUUUGCAUUUAACAUUUCACUUUUGUUCUGGAAGGUUUGUUCCGGAAACAUAUCAAAUGAGCAUCAUUUUCUUCUUCGGUGACACAUGGUCGCGAGUACGUGGGUCCAUUUUCAUGCCACUUAGUUGAAAAGUUGGAAAGAAAAAACAUGCCAACAAGAAGAUAGUGAGAGAAGGGGCACUUCAAGCCUUUAACAUGAACAAACAGUAAAUAAAAGAUGUUUCUCCACUCAUAAAAGUGUGUUAGAUAGCAAUAUAACGAAUCACAUCCAAAAUCUUUACUAGGCUCAAACAUAAAGAAGACUCAUUUUUAAGAAAAGAUAAAAAUGGCAUUGUCUGAUAGUAUCCAAUACACGAGAUGGCACUUAAUUUGUACAAGAUCUGUCAAUGCUGACGCACAUUUUCUGAUUAAAAAAAAACUGAUCAGUCAAAAGCAAUGAAGAGAAGUGAUGACAAUGAAUGAUGCUUCCAAUAUUUUCACCCCUUAUAGUGUUCUUCAUGAUUCAGAUAUAUAAUUGGAAAUAGAACAACCCUAUGCCAUACAUUCGUCUAAGUAUGGUGUCUAAUUUUUUGUGUCAGCGGUUGCGAAUGGAGCGUGCAAAAGUCCAAAUUGGCGUCUCUCCAUUUCCACAUAGGAAGGUGACCUUUAUUGACAAAUACCCAAUAUUUGUAGACAUUCCUUAAAUAUCAUAACUUCUUGUUGAUUUGAAAAUCAUUUUUCAACUACCAUGUUUUAAUAAAUAUUUUUUAAAAUGUAUUUUUAUCAAAGUCCACCAUGAUGGAUAAUAUUCACCAUGCAAUAAUUAAUAAAGUACAAACUAAGCGAAAUGAAAAGCAUUUUCUUUGCUUUGAGUUGAUUUUGGUUGCAUUGAGUUGAUUUUGGUUUCAUGGUUUUUUCAACUCUUAUUUUGAUUGGAAGAUGUCAAGAAAAGAAAACAUAAAGAAAAAUUAAAAGGGAAAAAAGAAGAAAAAUAAAAAAAAAUAGAUUUAAAAGUUAAUAAAUUAUUUUUUAUAUUUAUUUUAAUUCAUUUCACUUAUUUUUCUUUUACUAUAUAAAAUUUAAAUAAUUUAAAUUUUAUAAUUAAUUUAAUUACAUUUCAUUUUCUUCUAUAUUUAAAUAUUGGAAAAAUAUUUUACUUAAUAUUUUUUUCUUUAAUUUCUUUGGCAUUUUGGGAACCAAACUUAGCCUUUAAAAUAAAAAACAAAAAAAAAAUGAAAAUAAGGAGGGAAAAGUGAGAAAAGAUAAAAACAAUAUGUAAAGGAUUUGAAAAGUAUUAGUUUGUAAUUACUAUUUGGAUUUCAAUAGUAUUUUAUUUGUCUUUCUAUAUUUCAUGUAAGAGAGAAUUUAAGAUAUUCCCCAAGGCAAAGCAUUAGUUACCUGCAAUCAGUGGUGAUAAGGCUCCAAGCCAAUUUUGGGCCCCAUAUCUUAAGACAGUACAAUUUCCAUUUCAACAUUUCUGAUUUCUCAGAUGUUUCACAUACCACAGAAGAACAUUGUUUGUGAAAAUAUGCAUUUAUGUUGGAUUUUGUAUGCUGUGGGGACUGGGGCAAGGAUCAUAUGGAAGAGUGGUUGACUUUUUCUGUACUUUAACGGUUGAAAUAGGAUAAGCACGGGCAUUUGUGAGGCUUAAUUGAUUUUGAAGCCUGAAAUUGCGUUUCUGUCAUUUUGUCAAAAAAAUGGCAGAUUCCAUACUCAUAUGUUUGGCCUGUGGCCAUGUACAGAUGCCAUUUAGUGACCAGUUUGUAACUGUCAAUCGUUGCGUUUUGACUCUGCCUCAACAACAUCUGCCAUUGACGGGUUUUCAUACUUGCAAAUCAAAUAGUCUUUCGUCCCAUCAGGAAUUUCGGUUUAAAUAUUAUUAAGCAUACGUUUGGCUGACAAUCAUUAUCCAGUUCAUGAUUUGGUUUCUUACCCUUAAUCAAUGGUUUCUAAGUGAAUAUAUGUAGAAGGAAAUCCGAAGUGUAGACAGUAGUAUCGAUAACUCUCAAUAUUCUCUAUAUAAUAGAAUAAACAGCGUCAUAGUGAUCGUCGCCUACAAGCAAGGUACAAAUACCAAAACGAGUGACUCACAUAGACAUCUCCCAACAAGAUGUAGUAGUGACUGACACAUGGACACAAUUAACUCGUAGAAAAGGAUAAGACCAUUGCACAGCAGCUCUUAUUUUACAUACUACUUAUGCUAACCAAAGUCAAUUAGUUGGGAUGGGUGGGAGAUGGAGGUUUGUGCGGUGGCUUGUGGGGCGGAGUUGAUGGCUUCUUUCCAGGAGCUUCUGGCUUUUUCAUCGGAGCUGAAGGAGGCUCAAUCUUAUGAGGCGGCUUGUAUGAGUCUUCUUUACUCUCGACAGGAGGGUGGCCAGGGUUGUGAUCAUAAUGUGGUGGCUUCUCUCCCUUAGGUGGCUUGCCAACUGGGGUUGGUGGCUUGUGUUCAGGAAGUGGUUUCUCUCCCAUGGGAGGUUUAGCAAUUGGGGUUGGUGGCUUGUGUUCUGGGAGUGGCUUCUCUCCCUUGGGAGGUUUAGUAGGUGACUUGUGUUCUGGAGGUGGCUUCUCCACCGGAGGCUUGUGCUCCGGUGGUGGCUUCUUGGUUGGAGGGGGCUUGGGGUAAUCAGCAAGAGAUGGGGUGGUGAGAACCACCAGUCCAAGGAACAACACUAGCAAGUAUGUGGGAGACAUUUUUGAGUUUGGGCUGAUCAGAUGAUGCAAAACUAAAGCAUUACGUGACCUUUUAUAGCAUGUAGCUCCCAAUACCCACUAAGUAUUGUGGGGUCCAUUUGUGCCCUACGGGGUUGAAAACUUAGACAAUUGGGCAAGGACCCACCUGACUAUGGAGGACUAGUGAGGUGUGAUCAUAGCUUUAGGAUUUUUCUUCCUCUGCAGCCGUCGUGCCGUUGGCAUGAUUUUCUUAAUCUUAAAUAAAGGCAUAGUUAUAGAGUUGUUUAAUCUCUAAAUGGGAUUUUAUAUAUAUCUUCAGAUAGCCAUUAAUAUAUUUGAUGAAGAAAGAAAGACAAGUGCAUACAACAUGUAUACGACUAGCUUUCAUGGAGUUCAUUUAUGAUCAGUUUUCCUGUACAUGUAAACCAGGAUCAUAUAUAUGUUUCUGUUCCACAACUAUUUUGGAAUCUUGUUUAUCAGUUUUUAUCAUUAUAAUGUCACAUAGGCUGCCAACUUGGGCGCUAAAAGAACCAGUUGGGCUAGUUCGUUUCAGAAUUUCAAUGUGGAUUCAGGAAUUGUUUUGUAAGAUAUGCGAAAUAGUAGAGGGAUGAAUAGUGUUUCAUUAAUAAAAGUGUCCUGUAAAUUAGAAGGUGUCAUAGAAACUAUAAUCAAUAAAUAACUUUUUUUCCCCACGGGUGGUGUUUCUUGUGGGGAUCAGUGACUGGUUUAGGUUCACCCAAAAUGAGUUCAGACUAAAAUUGGUUUGAGUCAAUGCCGUGUCUCUUUUUUCCAGAAAUCAACUAUUUUAUGCAUUGAAUAAAUCAUACAAAGAAAAUAUGAACGCCCGCAAAACCUAAACCCUGGUUGCUAACUUUCUAUGUUUCAGUUCUAUUCACGCAAGAAUAUUAGUUUAAGUUUGGGAAAAAUGGCAACUUACCUAGUGAUUACUUGGUUUUGGUUUGCGACUAUUUACGCAACCAACCAUGAGUUUGACUUUAACGUCAUGGGUUGAAGCCUCCUACAGGAAGGGAGAAAGCUCCACAGCUAGCUCCAAAAGAGAAUUAUCACAUUGAUAGCUCCAGAGAUUCCCAAGGGGACUGAAUCAAAGACAAGUUCCUCACUUUUUCUUCUUUUGAGGCCAAAUAUGAACCAAGGAUCACACAACCUCAUUCAACUUCAUAAGUUUGAUUUCAUGCAGUUGAACACUGGGUGAAGGCCAUGACAAGAAUUGAUUCAAAAAUUCUAUCACUCUUUUAAGUAAUGGAAGAUUAUUAUCUCUGAUUGGCAUCACAACAGCACAUGCUCCUAGAUCUUUCUAGACACUCCAUGCAAUGAAAGCACAAUGGAUCUUGUAACGAUAGAAACUAAGCCAUGCUACAGUACUAGAUGAUGAGGUAAAACUAGUAGACACGGGUGGCAGCCUAUAUGGGAGGGACACAAGUCUAAUUGAUUUGCAUUUCAGCAUUAUAGAUAGGUAUGUUUUGGAAGAUUUGUUCUGGAAAUACCGCACCAAGUAGGAUUCUUUUUCUCUUUAGUGGGUCCACUUGCAUGCCAAUUAACGAGUUGAAAAGUAUGAGCACCUACCUCGUGCUCGUGGAACCGAAGGUCAGUGAAGUGGGGCUCCUUUUGGCCUCGUGUAAACUUGAUUCAGAAGUGAAGUUAAUAGUCUUCCAUUCAGAUGGAUACAUGGGAAUUUUUCUCUUUUAUUUAUUUAUUUAUUUUUUUUUUGUGUGUGUAUGUCAAAGGAUAAUGAAUGAAGCGCGUUAGCUUGUUUUCUGACUGGAACCGCAGAUGUCCAAAUUGGAGUUCCUUCAUUUCUUACUUAGGAUUGUUACAUGUAUAAACAAGGUAUAAGAAAUAUGCCAACGUGUCUUGAGGAGUUAUUGAUUAGAAAUAACAAGUCACCCGACUGUAGAGUUCCAAGAUUUGAAUCUUCAGACCCUAUAGCAGCCUCUGGGGUACGUGGCAUCCUAUAGCAUAUUAAUGAAGGCUUUUUCGAUUUAGACUUCACAAUACCAAUUAAUAUGUAUGCACAAAAUGGAGAUGACCCCAAAAAAAACAGAAUCGCCAUAGUUUAUGAGGUUAAGGUGAUUCUCCACUUAAUAUCUACAUUAGCUAAUUAUGUAAAUCAAAUGAACUUCUAUUUUUCCUUUUUUUUUUUGGUUUAUGUCAAAUAGUAGCCCAUAAUUAACCCAACCAUUAGCCUGUUUGAAUUGAUUUCACAUGCACAAUGUUGUAGUAGUUCAUAUUUUGAAUUUUAUUUUUACAAAGGUAGUUAAGGAAAAUGAAGUAUAAUAAUUAUAAAAGCAGACUAUAUACACUACAAUAAUUGUUAGAAUGGUAUCUCAAAUUCUAAUUUAAAAUAUUAUUUUUUGUAAAAGAAAUAUUAUAUAGAAUAUUUCCUAAUUUUAUAAAUGAUUAUAAUUAGAUCUUUAUAAAAUAAGGAAAGUUGGUAAGAAUAUCUUUAUAAAUAUUUUAGGUCAUGAGAGAAAGAAAUGGGAUAAAAAUGUGAUGAAGAGGUGAAAUAAGAGAGUUGAUUAGGAUAUAGAUGUGAAGAAGAAAGGGAUUCAAUAUAUAUAUAUCUUUCAAUUACCACAUUAAAACCCUGUGAACCUUUUAUAUGGUUUACUUUAUUUUUAUAUUCCUCCUUUAAUAUAUUUACAUUAAUGCUUCCAUUGGCACAACAAUAACGAAUUACAAAUACAAGCAACAAGUCCCAUGUUUUAUUACCAAAAGCAGGUAAAAUCCACCUAAUAUAUUACAAUAUAUUCAUCCAAUAUUUUAGACCAAUUCUUCACCAUAAAUAUCAUAAUGUGGCUUUUGUUCUUUCUUAAAUUUAAAUUGAAUUGUCUUAUAUCAAUUUGUUUGUGAUUUUUUCAUUAACUUCACUUUCAUUUGGUUAUCUUUGGUUUUUGAAAAGUAUUAAGGAAUUAAUUAACAAAAUAAUGUUAAGAAAAAUAAUUUUCUCUCUUUUGAUUUUGAUUUUGUAGUAGAAAAAUAUAAUUAAAAUUAUUUAAAAAGUAUGUAAUUUUAAAUUAUUUAAUAUUUAGAUAAAAAAAAUAAGUCUAAUGAGUUUAAAAUAACAUAUAAAAAUAAUUUAUUUAUUUUAAAUUUAUUUUUUAUUUUCCAUUAUGUUCUCUUUCUCUUUUACUUUUUCAUAUUUUUUCUUACGAAGAAUCAAACACAACCUCAUAUUAUAUGUCAAGUGUUUGUCUAUAUUUGAGCAAUGUUAGAUACGGCCAUGGAUUCAUCAAACUAAACUGAUUUUAAUAGAUACUUCACAAAUUGAUUUAUACACUAAAUCAUUGGAUAGCAAUGAUGCAUUGGAAUUAAACGUAGGAUGAAGCUCGAAGAACACUGUUUGUGUAACAACAUAUUUAUGAAAUUAUGCAAAGGAUGAGCUUCGGGGUAGUAGUACAAGGUCAUUAAUGGAGAGCCGUGUUAAACCUUGAUUGUGAUUGGAUUCCGUUAUCAGCAACAGCAACCUUGUUUGUAACCUUGAAAGUCAUUCUGUCCACAUCGAAACUCCAAUUUGACGUUUGUAAUUACCAUUCCUGGAGUGUUCCUUGAUUGAAAUUUAAAUAAUAAUUGCGGCCCACAAGGAAUAUUUUCGAUUCUGUGGGAAUUUGACAAGGUUUGUUAGAGAAGACUGGUGACAUGUUGACUUCAAUGGUUCAAAUAGGAGACGUAUGUGGAUUUGGGGGGUUUAAUUGAAACUGAGUCCCUAUGGCUUUUUAAUAUUUGCAUUGAGCAGUCUCCAUGUGACUUCCUAAUUCCCACCAACCCUCCUGUCCAUGCUGUGAAACUAAAUUGUAAUUUAUCAGCCUUUGUCAAUGGUUUCUAAAUUAAAGAUAUAGACCAUGCAUGUACUUUAAUAAAAGCAAAUCUAAAGUGUAGAUAGCAGCAAUGGUGACACCCAAUAUUCUCCAUAAAAUAGAAUUAGAAUAAGCAGUGUUACAUUGUUCAUGAUCACCUACAAGCAUACAAGAACUUCCAUGAAUAACUCAUAGCAAUUGCCAACAGGGCGUCGUAGAGACUCAUACAUAGAACACUAUCCACCCAGAGGAAAGGACAAGACCAGUGCGCUGCAGCUCUUAUUUUUCACAUGUAUACCACCACUCGUAAUAACCAAAUUCACUCAGUUGGGAUAGGUGGGAGAUGGUGGUUUGUGGGGUGGCUUGUGGGGAGGAGUUGGAGGAGGCUUUAUUUUCUGAGGCGGCUUGUAUGAGUGUGCAGGAGGAUGCCCGGGAGUGUGACCAUAAUGUGGUGGCUUCUCUCCCGUAGGUGGUUUGCCAAAUGGGCUUGGUGGCUUCUCUCCCUUAGGAGGUUUACCAAUUGGGGUUGGUGGCUUGUGUUCUGGGAGUGGUUUCUCUCCCUUGGUAGGUUUGCCAAUUGGGGUUGGCGGCUUAUGUUCUGGGAGUGGCUUCUCUCCCUUGGGAGGUUUGCUAAUUGGGGUUGGCGGCUUAUGUUCUGGGGGCGGCUUCUCUCCCUUGGGAGGUUUGCCAAUUGGAGUUGGCGGCUUAUGUUCUGGGAGUGGCUUUUCUCCCUUGGGAGGCUUGCCAAUUGGGGUUGGCGGCUUAUGUUCUGGGGGUGGCUUCUCUCCUUUAGGAGGUUUGCCAAUUGGAGUCGGCGGCUUAUGUUCUGGAAGUGGCUUUUUUCCCUUGGGAGGUUUGCCAAUUGGGGUUGGCGGCUUAUGUUCUGGGGGUGGCUUCUCUCCCUUGGGAGGUUUGCCAAUUGGAGUCGGCGGCUUAUGUUCUGGGAGUGGCUUCUCUCCCUUGGGAGGUUUUGUUGGUGGCUUGUGUUCUGGAGAUGGCUUCUCCCCUGGAGGCUUGUGCUCCGGAGGUGGCUUCUGAAAUGGCGGG